rnacentral:lncRNA from 1 species
UUUUUUAUUGUUGAUUUUCGUUUCAAUUUAAUCCCUCUCACUCAGCAAAUUGGGGUGAUCAGAUAAUUGCAAAGAGACAACUCACUAGAUUUGAUUACCAAAAAGAAUUUAAUAUAGCUAAUAAAAAUGAAAUUCUAUAGUCUCUUUUCACACUGCUGUCUAACUUGUGUGAAGUCGGGUGUUGCAACUAAAUGCCAGGACGGUGGAGGUUCACCCUCUCCUACUCUACAAGAGGUUCACAACAACAGGGAGGGGCUUACCGGUGAGAAAGCCACGGUCAAGACAGAGAUGUACAAGGUGAAUAUAUAUAUCUAAUUUGAAUCUAGCUAUACAGAGAAUCUAGCUCCACUAUUUUCUAAUUUGAAUGCUAAGAAACCAACCGUGAGUCCAUGGCUAAUAGAACAUGAAGAUAAAAUUAUCCAAAUCCACUCAUCCAAGAACCCAUACAUGGUGCCCAUGGUGACUUCUCCUCCUGCAUCAAUCCAUCCCCAAAUCCAAUGUCCAAGAAACUGCGGGAGGACAGGGGAAGAAAGAGGAGGAGGGUCUCAUGAGAGAGAGGUUCCCGUCGGGGGAGAGGGCGCCGGAGUUGGAGUUGAUGCUGGUCACGGUGCCGCCACUGCCGCUGCUGGAGUUGAGUGCUCCUGGUCACGCGAGAGGAGGAGAAGGUAGCGGGGCCGCCGCUGCUGCUCCAGGUUGCAGCGUCCCUCCGGAUCGUGGGGCCGCCGCUGCUGCCCCGGAUCGUGGCGCCGCCGCUGCUCCGGAUCAUGGCGCCGCCGCCACCGCCUCGAGAGGAACGAGACGAGACCGUCGAUCGGGAAAGUUUCCGCGCGUCGGACCAAGAUUUUUCUUAUCCCGGUCAAUCCAAGGGGCUCAGGGGGGUUUGGGCCGGGAUCUCAGCCCGCUCGGGUGCAACCGAUGGCAAAUUUUGGGUGGGCCGGGAUUAAUCCCCGGCCGGGCUGAUCCACGGGGAUUGGGCCGCCAACCCGGCCGGUAAGGGUGCAAACGAACGAAGCCUCAGGGGUGGGGUUUGAGGAUUGGGAACCAAGAAAGACGACGAGUAAACGAGUGCGUGCGUGGAGAAGACAGAAACAUUUAUUUUUCAUUUUCGAAAGGGGAACGUUGCUCUGCUUCGCCCCUGUGUAGCUCCGCAUCAUUUUGAUUAAGAGAACAAGGGUUCAUCCUUCUUUUCGAAAAAAAAAAUGCAUAGUUCUUUUUAGCGUUGGCCAGGCGGUCGAAGCGUGAGACGGGGAAACCCGUCACGUACCGCUGUGCGGACGCAAAGACUCAGAUCGUAAAUUAAGACAUGCAAGAUAAGGGUAAGAUUCUUACACACCACGCAAAGGACCAAGCCCCCGCACGGCAACACACCCUCAGCAUAUGCAUGGAACGAAGAAAUUGCCAAGCGAUCCGUAAAAAAAUGCUAACUCAAAUAAAACUUACUGGCUAAAUAAAUUACUACCUAACACUAUCGUCCACCGAGCCGAGACAUGAAGAAGGGCCACUCGAUCUCUACAGGUACCAUCGUCUCACAGUCGAGGCCACAAAACUUGUCUGUCACCUCUUCUAUUGCCCUUGUCUCAAGAUCGGCGAUGUGCACGAACUGGUGGCAGUCCACGAUGUGCAAUGUGCCGCUCAUCUCUCCCAGGCACAUGCAGUGCAAAGACUCAUUCCCACAACUAGGUUGGCAGACAUCAACUAUCCUGGCCAUAGGAUGCUUGGAGAUUGGUGCUGUUUUUUUACAACAUGCACCUUCAUGUUUUUGGCUUUCUCAUUUACUCGUCCUAGACUUCUUCCAUACACAUCCUUGAAAGUUCACGAAUUUCAUUUUUCAACACCCUCUGCCUUGGAUCAGAGAAAGCACAACCCGGAUCCCGCUUCCUUAAAAAUGGCAGCAAUUUGUCAGAUCUGGAUCCUGGAUUACAGACGAAAGUUUCGGAUUGGAAGGAUCCAAGCCAGAGCUCGCCGGCGUUGGGCGUGAUUCUAGAUUCUGCUGCAUCCCUCCCCGGUCUUCCUUCCAGGAGGGGCCCGGCGGCCGGCGCGCGGAGGCGACCUCGACGGAUCCCGCCGGAUCAGGCCGAAGCGGCGGCGGCAGUCGCGCGGAGGUGGCCGGCGGCGGUCACGUCCGAGAGAGAGACAGGAGCGGGGAUGGGUACUGGUAGGUGAGGAAGAGAGAUAGGUCAAGUUGGAAGAUGAUAAUUGGACUGAUUUGUAGAUAUUACACUUUGGCCUCCUUAUGAGAGGUGAUAGAUGUAAAAUACACAUUGCAUGGAUCUUGGAAAAAUAUGGAACUUUGGAUACUGGUUGUGCCCCAACAUAGCCGUGGCAAAUGUGCUUCCCAAGCAGACACGAAAGAUAGACAACCAAAGAAUUUAAACCAAACAUCUGCAUUUAAGACUGAUAGCUGGGGGUUCGUACGGGCAGCCAAGCCCGACCGACCACGCGAGCCCAUGCUCACCAAACUGGAACUAAUACAUCAACCGGUCCGAAAUGACCAAACAACAAUCCAACUCUUAACGGGGGCGACCCAGAUUUUGCGCCACGACUCCACGCACUCACACCAGUGUCCAAGUGCGUCUGGACGUUACCAUCCAACUGCGUCUGGGAGGCCUACCAUGGUACCUUCCCUCGGGAACGGGGAGCACUACAAGAAUUUACCUGAAUUAUGACGUUCUGAAACCGUCAUAAUGAGCUAAAAAUCCGUCAUCUAAAAUAUUUUAUGACAGUCCUACUAAACGUCUUUGACCCGUGCUCAUAGAUGGUCGAUCAUGACAGAACGUACCAGCCGUCACCAAGUUGGCGAUCUAGGCCGUCUCGAUCCUUAGCAGGCCUUGGCUCCGCCCAGCCCAUUAAGGCCGGUCAAACCGUCACUGAUAUGAUGACAUCAGCAUUGUCAGAUGUGAAUCUAACGUUUAACACGUGCGUUGACUGGCAACUACACGAGGCUUGCCCCAACGACGAUACGUGACUGAUGUAUGGACCUGUCAGAGGACGACGCAUGUCAUCUUCUGAUAGGUUCACGGUCGGGUUUUCAUAGGUUCACGUGUCGACGUUACCGAGCUAAACGUGUGGGGAUCAUGCCGUGACACAUGUCACCACCUCAUUGGAACACGUGUCUUUUUUCCUACGCGAACACGUGUCGGCCUCCUGACGGGACGCGUCGGCAUUCGGUCCGCACGUCAGCUUCUUAUUCGGCCACGUGUCCUCCUCCUAUAGAGACAGGUGUCUCUCGAGGCCCAAGAAUUUGGCAGGCCCGUUAAGGCUACUCAGUGUAACAGACUGAGUUUUGGAUUUUUCAAAAACUUUUUCAUAAAAAUAAGUACCGAAAUUUCUUUGAAUUAAUCCAAACUUAAUUGGAAACUUCUUAAAAGGUUUGAUUUUAAAUUAAUUUAACAUCGACUAGAAUUUAAAUUUGAGUUUUACUUGCCCUUUGUUUUGUUUAUAUUUUAUUUGAGUCAACAUUUUUUUGAACCUGCAACCUUGAAUUUUCUCGAAACUCCUGGAGCUUUUGCAUUUUAUUUUUGGACAUUUCCCUUUUCUUGGGCUGAAGCCCGGUUUCUCCCGUCGGCCAAGCCUGCCUCUUUAUUUGCUCUAUGGGCCGCAGCUCAUCGUCUUUUUUUUUCUAUUUUUCUCUCCUUCUCGCUUGGGCUAGUCUCUCCUUUGGCCCAUCUUCUCCCCAGCGCCCCAGCCCAGCCUCGCACGAGAGCCCUUCGUCUUCCUCCUCUCUGCUCGCUCAGAACAGAGGCACGCACAAGCUGCACGCCGCCGCCUUGGCUUCCCCUUCGAUGCUCUUGGUCCCGACCGUUAAUCUACAAACCGAAACCACCAAAAUAAUCUCCAUCAUCUCACGAACCGAUUCAGGCUUUUAAUCUUCAGUUUCGUGUCUUCAAUUCUCCAUUGAAACGGACGCCCCGGAUGCCGGCUGUUGGCAUUCGUUUUCCCGAUCUCCCACCACAGCCCGCAAAUCAUUAUCCCGAGCGUGUCUCGUUGAGCCUCUUCCUCUCCCCCUUCGUUUCCUUGUCCAGAGUUUCGCCUAAGAACCAUUGUAGAGCCCGUGCCAUCAUCAUCUUGAACCAUUGUAGAGCCCGUGCCAUCAUCAUCUUCCCCGCUGGCCGCCGUCGCCAUUCUCGAAGGUGAGCUCGCAAGGUAUCUCCGUUCUGCAAUUCCUCGCAUUUGGGAACUCACGUAAUCUCCUUCUAUCUUUCCCAUGUAUCCGAUGCUUUUGGCCUCGUCAUCCCUAAUCCAUGCCGCCACAGCACCACGGUUGACGGAUUCCGGCGAAACCGACCACUGAAGGCCGCGUCCUCGCGCCAGUAGAAUCUGCACGUCAUCCUGGAUCCAACGCCCCAAGCUGCAGCCCGGCAGGACGACUACGCGGGACGAAUUUGGUUCACCUUCGUCAACUUCUGCCGUCCACGCCGAACGAUUCCGUCAUCUUCGGUGAGUCUUGUCCAAAUCCCUUUUUUACGCAUAGACUCGUAUAUCUUUCUAAUUCCCCUAGACAUGACCUCCUGUUCAAUUAUUUGUUUUGGCCACGUGUUCUCAAAUCCAUGUCGAUCCUGAUCGACACGGUCAUGCCAUACACAUUGUUGCUGUAAAAUCCAUUCGUGUCACUCAAUUAUAUUCAUCUCCAAUAGCGUAGAAUAGGAGACGGAUUCUCCAUCCGAUGACCGGAGCUCCGACAACUUCAAUGCCAUCUUGUUUAUGACCAAUAUUGCCAUGCUCUUCCAUGUUCAGUCCAUAAUCUGAGCUCAACCCCAACUUAAGAAAAUUUCCUUUUGACCUUAGUGACCCCCGUUGGUGGAAUCGGAUUCGCAAUCCGAUGGGUAGAAUUUAAACUAUAUAUAAACCGAUGCUAUUCGGGUCAAAUUCGUAUAGAAUUUGAAUUGGCUUUAAUACUUCUUGUGCAUGUCCUGUUCUUGUAGUUCAUAUACAUGCAUAGGAGUUGUAUAUCAAGUUUGUAUAAUUGUCUCACAUGCUUAGCCAUUUAUUAGAUUUGUAAAGUAGCAUGUAUUUCUUGUUUCAUUUGUUUAUUCAUGGCUAUGCAUGCCUGCUUUGAGUUACUAUUAUGUUUCAUGUUAUUUGUAACAUACAUCGUGUGUGCUGCGUGUAUGGUUAUAACGCACACGGUGUAUGCAGGAUUUGGAGUUUGUUUCAUGCUUUAUUAAGUUGUCACAUGAUGGUGUGUAAGCAAUUUCCCUUGUCAAGGAAUUGGGAGCUAUAUCACCCCGCACGGUCUAUGACUGUGAUUGCUUUGGGUUGACGCUCUGCUUGACUUGUGGAAAUAGUGAGCUAUAUCACCCCGCACAGUCCAUGACUAUGAUCGCUUUGGGUUGAUGCUCCAAGCUCUCCAGGACCAUAUCACCCGCACAGUUCUCACGCUGUGAUCGCUUUGGGUUGAAGUCCUGGCUUAUCGUCAGUCACUUCUUAGUACUUGUAUGAGACAAAUUCCAGGUCCGAUAGGUAUGCUAGCAUGUCCUUGCUUGAUGUUAUUGAUCAAUCACAUGGUUUGAUUCUCUUUGGUUUAUGUCAUGCUCAUAUGAUGAUUAUAUAGUUUAUAGAGUACUUUAUGCAUGUGGUAGUAUAUUUGUUAGCUACAUGAAUCAUGCUUUAUUGUUAUUACCUUGCCCUGGUUUGUACUUGUGUGCUUACAAUACAAUAGUAUGUUGCUUUGGAGUUUCACAUAAUCAUUGCUUGUAUUACAAAGAGUUAGCUUAUACUCCCUCCAUUUCAUAAAGGUUGGCGUAUUUUGUUUCGUUAAGACAAGUCUUUGACCAAUGAAAACUCUAUUGAUAUGUGUUUUUUCAUACAUAAAAUUUAUAUCAAUGGAUUCGUCUUUAAAAGUUCUUGCUAAUGAUCAUGGUUUCGUAUCAUAUAACUUACAUAUUAAUAGAGUAAUUCUUGGUCAAAAACUUGUCUUAACGAAACAAAAUACGCCAACCUUUGUGAAAUGGAGGGAGUAUGAUUGCAAUGCACUUUGUUAUAAUUUAGUUCUUAUAGUUGUUCCAAUACUCGAUGAAUGUUUUACUAGAACUUUAGUACUGUUCAUGCCAUGCUUAGUUGAAGUGCAUUUGUGUUGCUUGGAACAUGUGUUGUUUUAUUAUUUUAUACUUGGCUCUUGUUAGCUAGACUUACAUAUGUGUAUUAGUACUUUAAUCUAGUAAAUUUGCCAUGUUGUAUUGUCCUUUUCUUCCUAUGGUUUGUUCCGUUUAUGAUGUUCAUAUUGUAAUGCUUUGUGUGCUAGAAUAAGCUGGUUAUCUCUUGUUAAUGCAUCUAUAGUACCAUAUGCUUGCUUGGUCAUGCAUGUAUUUUAUUACAUUGACAUGCUUGUAUUCUUAAUGUGUGUUUCAUGUGUAACAUAUACUUGCUAGCUUCCUAGUUUAUGUUUAUAACAACUUUAUGCAAAUCAAGUCUUGAUUGCUUUCCAUGUUGCACUUCAUAACAUGUCUUGAUUGCUCUAUCUGAAGGUUCACCACUAGGAUGUAUGUAAGAGUUGCUAGAUGCUUAGUUUACUAUCCUUCUGUGAUAUAUGCUUCCUAGGACAUUGAUAUUACGAUGCUCAUGUCACUAAUUCAUGUGCUUGCUUCCCCAUUAUACAGUUGUGUACGACAUGCUUUGAUAGUCUCCUAUCAGUUAGUGUUUGCAUGACAGAUGUUUAUCCAUUGUUAGCAUGUUAUGUGUUCAAUCAUUUGUUUUGAUCUAGAACUAUAAAUCCAUGUGUAGCUUUAUUUGCAUAGAGAUCUAGCUUAGCUUUUGUGCUAAUCUUAUCCUUGUUGUUGCAUACUAGAUACAUGCUUCUUGCUUCUAUGAUCACUAGUAUGAUAGGAGUUGUUUCAUGUUGCAAAUUAACAUGAUAAGGUGUAUUGCUUUGCCUUAGCGUGUCUUUAUAUAUGCUUGACUUAUUUGGUUAGUAGUAGUAUAGCUUUGGGUGUAGUAUUAUUAUUCCUGUAAAAAGGGGUAUGACCACUCAAGCUAUAUCUUAGUCAGGUCUAUAUAGUUUGCUUUGUUAGAAUCAAUCUCAGUGUCCUAUCCAAUCAAAGUUCCUAUCUUUUCCAAGAUAUUCCAUACCUAUUCUUAGUCGCUUUGUCUAUUCAUUCUCCUAUUUGCAUUUCAUUUGGCUGUAUUGUAUUUGUAUUUAUUUUGUUUGUUCUGGUGACCGAUGAGUAGAGAGGACGAGGUGGAACAGGGACAACAAGCUGAAGACAAAGAAUUCAUCAAUGAAGGCAUGCGCCCCCCCCCCCCCUCUUUGAUCAUAUUUAUCCUAUGUUUUUAAAUGGGCAUUAGUUAUUUAUUUAUUGUUUUAUAAACAUGCAUGCUAUUUUAUUCUUGUAGCUUGUGUAUCGAUUGACACUUUGCCAUGAUCUACUUGUCGCCAUUCCUUUGAUACCUGGAGUAGUUUUAUAUAGUAUUCUUGUAGAGUAGAAAUGCCUAGCCAUGCUCAUUUUAUUCAUUAGUAAUCUUUCAAUUGCCUCUUCGGGGGUUUCUAAGUGAUCUUCGGAUCGAUGAUAUCAUUGUUGAAAGUUGUUGAGCUUGCUGAGCUGGGAUCAGUCCCUCUUCUUGGAAUCUUCUUCUACUUGCACAACCUACUCUAGGUGCACUUACCAUACAACUGGUGCGGGCAACAGCUGGAUCAUUGGUUGAAGGAGCAAUUGCUAGCCUGUGUGGGAGCAAUUUGCCGCCCGUAGCGAAUGAGGCCUAAUAAGUCUCGAAUCUGAAGAUUGUGACAACAGUGCGACCCCAUGCUAUAUUGGCUCUGGCUUGGUCAAGUAAGCUAGCCAGCCUUAGGUGCCGAUGAUGCCGUACCGCAAAUGGGGUGUCGCCUGAGAUGUGAGAACCCUCGGCACAGAUGGGGGGACCGGAGAUGGGGACGUACUCUCACUCCGUGUGUCACAUCUUUGGGGGAGGAAGCUAAAAGACCUCGUCACGGUCUCGCUGUCAGUACAUCGAUACUUGUGCAUUUACCAGUGUCAGCUGGUUAGGCGCAAGGCGAGAUCGUGUCAUGUGGGUACAACGUACAACCUCUAAAGAGUGUAAAACUAUUCGAAUAACCGUGUCCACGGUCAUGGACGACACAUGAAUCUUUCUUGACAAACGGAACAUGUCUUCUUUCCCUUCGUAUCUCUCUCUCUCUAUGGCUUCUUGCUGGAAUUGAGGAUUUGGGUGAGUGGUCGAGGACCCUCACGUUCUUGGAUAAUGCUUUUGUGAUAAACUUGUUUUUAUCAAAACCGCCUUCAUCAAAAGUAUGGUAGUAUUUCAAACAAAACUUCUUUUUCGCAAAAGAACCAUAUAGCCUUCCUUUGAAGCCACAUGUAGUUAUCAGAGUUCCCAGAGGGGGCACACUGAGUACGUAAUGUACACAUCGCAUUGCUUUUGUUGAUGUACAGAGUUCCUAAAGAUAAGGAUGCCGACUAUGACUAUUAGAAGGAUCUAAGGAGUGAGGUCACGUGGACUACAUCAACUGCCUGUGGCUAAAAUGGAGUCGCUACGCAUUUUACUUUCCGCUGUUUUCUGAUUGUAACAAUGUCAUGAGACAUUGCACUUCCAUUGGGCAUAUUAAUAAUAAAGCUUUGUUUUUAUCUUAAGUGUUGUGCAAUGUUACUCAUUUCACCUGGGUUCAUCAGCUUGAUCCUGAACCGAUGAAACUUAGCAAAGGGGGGUCUGGAAGUUAACUCUGGGUUCUCACACUCAGGCUGGCCCACCAGAAUCGAGGCCCGGUGGGCUGGCCCACCAGAAUCCACAGUGGGCAGGCCACCAGAGCCGAGGCCCAUUGGUCGACCCAUUUCAUACUUUUCAACAAGCCCAUUUAUGAAUUUUCUAGGCAGCCCAACAGUAACGGGCCAGCCCGUUGUCGGGUUUUUCAGCUGGCGCAACGGUUUGUCUCCAUGUCGGAGCCCAAAACUCCGGCACCGGGGAUGACAAGCACCCCCUUUAUAGUUUGGUGGUGGGCAAUGGGGAUCGCUUCGGCGAUUGCCGGCGUGGCCAAAGACAGGAAGUGUGACACAUAUCAUUUACCCACGUUCGGGCCACCCGAAGGUGUAAAACCCUACGUCCUACCUUGUGUUUGUAUUCUCAGAGUUAGGCGAUCUUAUAGGUUGCCGGGAUGGUUCCCGGGCCUUGCUGCUUGUACUGCUAAGAGCCUACUGACUCGAGCUAGGUUGGAACUAAGUUGGAACGGGUCGGAACCCCUUGACCGGUGCCAUUUGUCCUCCUUUUAUACACAAGGGGAUACCACAGGUACCGAUGUUUACCAUGUGAAACGCGACGAGAACACUUGUACGGACUCCCUAGGAAUGCUCCUCAACUUGGACGGCCGUUUCGGCCAAAUCGGAGUCGGUGCUAAACACUUUGAUCCCCGAACGGGUCCAUUUGGGUACUAGGAUGACCACACCAAAGAAGGAUCACCAUCGACGUGAAACGCGACGAGUACACUUGUACGAACUCCCUAAGAAUGCUCCACUAGUUGGACGGCUGUUUCGGCUAAAUCGGAGUCGGUGCUAAACAUUGAUCCACGAAUGGGUCCAUUUGGGGUACUAGGAUGACCACACCAAAGAAGAAUCACCAUCGACCCGAAACGCGAUGAGAAUACUUGUACGGCUUCCCUAGGAAUGCUCCUCCACUGGGACGGUCGUUUCGGCCACAUCGGAGUGGGUGCUAAACUUUAAUCCACUAACGGGUCCAUUUGGGGUAUUAGGAUGACCACACCAAAGAAGGAUCACCAUCGACGUGAAACAUGACGAGAACACUUGUACGGACUCCCUAGGAAUGCUCCCCUCUUGGACGCCCGUUUCGGCCAAAUCAGAGUCAAUGCUAAACUUUGAUCCACGAACGGGUCCAUUUGGGGUACUAGGGUGACCACACCAAAGAGGGAUCACCAUCGACGUGAAAUGCGACGAGAACACUUGUACAGACUCCUUAGGAAUGCUCCUCCACUUGGACGGCCGUUCCGGCCAAAUCGGCGUCGGUGCUAAACUUUGAUACACGAACGGGUCCAUUUGGGGUACUAGGAUGACCACACCAAAGAAGGAUCAGCAUCGACGCGAAACGCAACGAGAACACUUGUACGGACUCCCUAAGAAUGCUCCUCCACUUGGACAGCCGUUUCGGCCAAAUUAGAGUCAGUGAUAAACAAUUUGAUCCCCGAACGGGUCCAUUUGGAGUACUAGGAUGACCACACCAAAGAAGGAUCAGCAUCGACGCGAAACGUGAUGAGAACACUUGUACGGACUCCCUAGGAAUGCUCCUCCACUUGGACGCCCGUUUCGGCCAAAUCGGAAUCGGUGCUAAACUUUAAUCCACGAACGGGUCCAUUUGGGUACUAGGAUGACCACACCAAAGAAGGAUCAUCAUCGACGAGAAACGCGACGAGAACACUUGUAUAGACUCCCUAGGAAUGCUCCUCCACUUGGACGGCCGUUUCGGCCAAAUCGGAGUCGGUGCUAAACUUUGAUCCAUGAACGGGUCCAUUUGGGAUACUAGGAUGACCACCCCAAAGAAGGAUCACCAUGGAUGCGGAACGCGACGAGAACACUUGUACGGACUCCAUAGGAAUGCUCCUCCACUUGGAUGACCGUUUCGACCAAAUCAGAGUCGGUUCACCAUCGACGCAAAACGUGACGAGUACUCUUGUACGGACUCCCUACGAAUGCUCCUCCACUUGGACGGCCGUUUCGGCCAAAUCGGAGUCGGUGCUAAACACUUUGAUCCCCGAACGGGUCCAUUUGGGGUACUAGAAUGACCACACCAAAGACGGAUCAUCAUCGACACGAAACGCGACGAGUACACUUGUAUGAACUCCCUAAGAAUGCUUCACCAGUUCGACAACCGUUUCGGCCAAAUCAGAGUCGGGUGCUGAACUUUGAUCCACGAACGGGUCCAUUUGGGGUAAUAGGAUGACCACACCAAAGAAGGAUCACCAUCGACGUGAAACGGGACGAGAACACUUGUACGGACUCUCUAAGAAUGCUCCUCCACUUGGACGACCGUUUCGGCCAAAUCGGAGUCGGUGGUACACACUUUGAUCCCCGAACGGGUCCAUUUGGAGUAUUAGGAUGACCACACCAAAGAAGGAUCACCAUCGACGCGAAACAUGACGAGAACACAUGUACGGACUCCCAAUGCUCCUCCACUUGGACGGCCGUUUCGGCCAAAUCGGAGUUGGUACUAAAUUUUGAUCCACGAAUGGGUCCAUUUGGGAUACUAGGAUGACCACACCAAAAAAGGAUCACCACUGACCCGAAACGUGAGGAGUACAUUUGUACGAACUCCCUAAGAAUGCUCCACCAGUUGGACGGCCGUUUUGGCCAAAUCGGAGUCGGUGCUAUUGUGUGCUGUUUGAGAUACAUUAUGUUUUCUAUUGCUUUUGACCUUUUGUCAUAACUUACUGUAACUCUUGUCUUGUUCUCUCCGUGAAGGAAUGCCGACAUUAGAUAGCUGGAUGACCAUUGAAUGCCCAAUGCAUCGCUGACAUGUAUUUGGUUCCGCCAUGGUUAUUGCUGGCACAUAUGGUCUGUUAGCGUUGGUGGACUUAUAAGAUGUUCUAGAUUUGUAGUCAAACAUUUUAAAGUUUAACCAAAUUUAUAAAAAAAUGUAGUAACAUCUAUAAUAUCAAAUAAGUACACUAUGAAUAUAUAUAGCAUUACGGAUUUAAUAAAACUAAACUAGAGUUGCAAACGUUGACAGAUUUUUCUAUAAAUAUGCCAAAAUUGGUUCGUUCGUUCAGGAAAAAAAAAAAACUGGUUCGUUCGGCCAGCACUUCAGAAGCGAGAAAUUUGACAAAAUGCGACGUCUUCACAAAACUGCCUACUCGCAUCUCGCCAUGAGCAUCUCCAGCGACGAGGCCACCGAGCUUGCUCUACCGGCAGCGGGGGGGCACACUGACCGCGUAUUCCGGGCUCUGGCGCUCGCCUCCGUCUACAUCCUCCUCCGCCGGUGGCGCGCCGGCGGGGCCGGUCUCGGCGAGCGGCCGGCGCCGGCGGAGAUCGCGGCCGUCGCCGCGCUCUGCGCCUCCGGGAUAUGGUUCUACCUGCUCCCCGCCCUGAGGCCCCGCUCCAGCAGCGGGAUCUCUCGCAGGCGCUGGCACCAAGAUUAGUUGCUGAUGCUUUUCCCCCUUGUUGGUAACUCACUUCUGUUCUUUCUCUGCCCUUCUUUAUUUCUUGAACUGUUCGAUUCAUUUCGAGCAUACAGUUAAUCUAUUGAUAAAGACUAGCGUGUAAUCAUCUCGGGUUCAUUAGUUCUGUUACUGCUAGCGACUCAAGAGUAGCAUUGCCGAAUUCUUAUACAAAUGGGGAUUGCAGAGUUGGAGUGUUUUUGAGAUUUUCUCAUGAAAUUUGCGUCCAGUUUACAGUAGAAAAGAAACAGGCGAACUAUUUUCAGAUCAUCAGUCCGAAACAAUGACACAUUCCGUGGCUUACUAAAUUUGAAACUAUCAAGUAACAGCAGGAUUCCUGGCCAACAGGCCACAGAAAACUUAUGUCUAUGAGUCUAUAUCCGAUACAUUCCAAGUACUGUCACCAGCACACCUGCACUAUAGAAAUCUAACAUGUUUAGGCUAAUGUCAUUCACUGACAGUGGCAAGGUAGCUUUUUUUUAGAAGAAGGAACCAGGCCCCUGAUUUCAUUAAUGAAAUCAACAGUAUACAGCAGUUCAAAAUAAAACGAGGAUCAAGAGUCUUCCUCUAAUCGAAACAAAAUAAACGUAGACCCAGGCCUCCAACCUGGACUACAACAUUUCACAAGUAUUAGAAAGCAGCUAAGAACACAGAAGACAGCCCUAUGCUCCGCUGCCAGCAAGCGUCCUUUGAUGUAAACCUCCAACCAAAUUUGGGAUGAAGAACUUCUGCGGCAACCAUCUAGAUUAGCUGAGCACCCAGGAUCAGCUUCUCACGCAUGUUUUUGUUGUGCAUGCUACUAAUUAUGUAUCACCUCUUGGUUUAUCAAUACUUAGUGUUGGUACUGGGCUUCACAAGGAUUAUGUCUCUGUUUUGAGACGGAUAGUCUGUCAAUGCUAGUGCCAACAAUUGAAGAGAAGUAAAUCGAUUCUAUAACCUGUGUAAAGACCGAAUAAGUCAUAACUUGGGAAGCUAUUCUGACAAGUAUGCUUCCAGUCCUAGAAGCACUUCUUGUUCUGAACAUAUGGGAUUCCCUUAUUUGCAGGUGAAGUGCAGAUUACAAUCUCCAUGUUCCAGAAUUAUUAAAAAGAGCAUAUGGAAACGAUCGUCCAAGAAUUGAUUACAUUGGCUCAAAUCCAGGUCUGUAUGUAUGCAAUGCCAUAAACAAACCAUUUUUUUCCACUUUCUCUCUUUUUUCUACUUAACAAUAAUUCAUCAUUACUAUAUAUGGUCUUUCUUGAAAUUAUUGAAUGCAUGUCUACUGUCUGUAGUUGAAUCAAGAAUCAUGUCCAAAAUUUAGGGGAGUCUUGAAUAUAACUAGUGUGCUGAACAAAUACAGACAUGAAAAAUAUCUUGAGUAUUCUCCAAAUAAUAACAAUUUUAUUAAAGAGUUCGACACAUAUCAAUGCAUUAUUGGACCAUAAAGUAAAUGUAAAGUAAAACAUAAAGAAUGAACUAUUGCACGACAUAUCUAAUUGUUGUGUUGUCCAUCUCCAAAGCGAUUCCAAAUAUGAUGAACCAAGUCACCUUUUAGACGAACAUGCUUCCAUCUAUCACGAAUCCUUUUCUGGCUAGUACAUUGGUGAAACCAUCAAUACGACCAGGGUAGAUUACUACCGGUGGUAUUGGCUUUCCCCCUUGGUCAUAAUUAUAGUCAUGUUUGCCAUCAUACGUAUCCCAUUCAUCUUCUACUAUGACGUUAUGCAAUAUAAUGCACGCAUACAUGAUGUCAUCAAGGGUUUAGCGGUGCCAAAAACGAGCUGCAUGCAGUAGAAUGGCAAACCGAGCUUGUAGAACUCCAAAUGCUCCUUCAACAUCUUUUCUAGUUGAUUCUUGACGCUUUGCAAAUAUUUUAUCCCUUUGAUUCUGAGGUAGAGGGAUUGGUUUCACAAAUGCAGCCCAUUCAUGGCAUAUCCCGUCUACUAGAUAGUAGGCCAUAUCGUAUUGCGGUCCAUCAACCAUGAAUUCAACUGGCGGGGCUCUUCCUUGCAACAUAGCGGUGAACAAUGGUGAUUGGUUCAACACAUUGAUGUCGGUGUUUGAUCCAACAACGUCAAAAAUGAAUGCCAAAUCCAAGUAUCUGUGAUGCAACUGCCUCAAGCAUAACUGUAGAUACUCCAUGAUCCCACGAUUGAACCGCCCCUGCAAUGCACCCGGGCAAUUCUUCCGGUCCUAGUGCAUGCAAUCAAGACUUCCCAGCAUGCCUGGAAAGCCAUGAGCCUCUCCCAUUUGAAGCAAUCGUUCAAUGUCCUCAUGUGUAGGUUUCUGAAGAUAUUCUUCACUAAAUGUUUCUCUCACACCUUGAACAAAUUCCUUUAAGCAAUCUAUUGAUAUACUUUGUCCUAUGCGGAAGCAUUCAUCAAUGGAAUCAGUUGAGCAUGCAUUCGCCAACAUCCACACAACUACCGUACAUUUCUGCAAAAACCAGAACCCUCUUCUAUUUAAGGCGUCUCUUUUCUGCGUGAAAAAGGGUGACCACUCACCGAGAGCUCGCACGAUACGGAGAAAUAAAUGCCUUCUCAUUCGGUAUCUUCGUCGGAACAUGGCAUCCGUGUACACCGGUGUAUCCAAGAAAUAAUCUCCAACGAGACAUUCAUGACCAGCCCCUCUACCUCUAUCAAUUAAUCUCCUCUUACCACUACGAAGGCGACGAUUGGUACCAAGAAGUUGAGCUUUGAUCUGAGCCUCCAUUGCGGCUGCAAUGGUGUUGUCAAUUUUGUUUUCCAUCUCCUGUGCAACAGGAUCAUUAAACAAGUUCUCAAUGGUGAUCUCAUCACUUGAUUUAUCAGAGGUGGACAUAGGUUUUUGUUAGAAUAUUGGUAAGCGGUGGAUCCAGAGUACAUAUGGUCUUUGCUUGCAAAAUGAACACACAAACUUUGUAGCUGCGUCGUUUGGUUUUUUGAAAGUGAACGUGCUUUUAGGAUCUGUUUGCUUGAACAACAACUUUACCUGUUUGUCUAAAAAAACAACUUUAUCGGGUUGUUGUAAACCUCUCAUUUUUGUGGGCCAAUGAUUUGACAUAUAUGGCACUUACGUAGCAAACUUCUAUAUUUUAAUUACUGAUUUAAUGAGACAAAGAUUAUUACAAUACUAACAUGAUGGGUAAGUGCAUUGUUGACAAUUGAAAAUCUAGAUAGUACGUUAUUUGAAGUAAAAAAAAACAAGAUACUACAAGAUAACCUAUGAAACAAAAUCUAAAUACUACUUCAUUUGAAGUAAACAAGAAAAGAUACUUCAAAAUAAUCUAUGAAACAAAAUCUAGAUAAUGCUUUGUUUGGAUUGAACAAAAGAAAUCAAAGAAAGAUUGAUUGGCACGGUCAUAAGUUGUUGUGGUUAUUCUCUGCGCCCAUUAUUUUGCUGCAGAAAAUUGUAGCGCUGCCUAGUGCUCCAUUCUCUAAAAAUCAGACAUGCCACUGGUCUUGGCCAUUACAAGAUCCAUCUCUUGCCAUUGGUUUUUAUGCAGUAAAAUAAUGGGCGCAACACAUGGAUUUUGUAAUGGCCAACACUAAUGGCAUGUUGAUUUUCAUCGAAUGGAGCACAAAGCAGCUGCAAUUUUUCUGCAGUAAAAUAAUGGGUCAAGAAUAACCACGACAAUUUAUGAGCGCGCAGUCAAUCUUUCUUUGAUUUUUGUUUUGUUUAAUCCAAAUAAAGUACUUUCUAUAUUUUGUUUCAUAGAUUAUUAUGAAUUAUCUUUUCUUGUUUAUUUCAAAUAAAGUACUAUCUAGAACAUGUUUCAUAGAUUAUCUUGUAGUAUCUUGUUUUCUUUACUUCACAUAAAGUACUAUCUAGAGUUUGAAUUGUCAACGAUGCACCUACCCAUCGUGUUAGUAUUGAAUCAUCUUUGUCUCAUUUAAUCAAUAAUUAAAAUAUGAAAGUUUGGUACGUACAGGCCAUAUAUGUCAAAUCGUUGGGCCCACAAAAAUGGAAGAGAGGGACAUAAUAUGUUUCACGCAUGACAAUCGUAUGGAACCAUGGAGGUGUACAACAACCAGAUAAAAUUGUUUUUUUGGGACAAACAGAUAGAGUUGAGAGUUGUUCAAGCUGACUGAUCCUAAAAGCAUGUGUGCUUUAAGCAACCAAAUGACAAGGCUACAAAGUUUGUUCAUUCAUUUUGAAAGCAAAGACAAUAUGUACUCUGGAUUCACCGCUUACCAAUAUCCCAACAACAACCUAUGUCCACCUCUGAUAGAUCGAGUGGUGAGAUCGCCAUCGAGAACUUGUUCAAGGAUCCUGUUGCACAUGAGAUGGAAAACAAAAUUGACACCGCUAUUGCCAUCGCAAUGGAUGCUCAACUUCUUGGUACAAAUCGUUGUCGUCGUAGUGGUAAGAGGAGAUUCAUUGAUAGAGGUAGAGAGGCUGGUCAUGAACGUCUUGUUGUAGAUUAUUUCUUGGAUACGCCGGUGUACACAGAUGCCAUGUUCCGACGAAGAUACCGAAUGAGAAGGCAUUUAUUUCUCCUGCAAGCACUCGGUGAGUGGUCACCAUUUUUCACGCAGAGAAGACAUACCUUAAAAGAACGAGGGUUCUCGCCUUUGCAAAAAUGUACGGUAGCUAUGUGGAUGUUAGCGAAUGCAUGCUCAGCCGAUUCCAUUGAUGAAUGCUUCCGCAUAGGACAGUACAAAAAUAGAUUGCGUAAAUGAAUUUGUUCAAGGUGUGAGAGAAAUAUUUGAUGAAGAAUGUCGUCGGAAACCUAUACCUGCAGUCAUUGAAUAUUGCUUCAAAUGGGAUAGGCUCAUGGCUUUCCAGGCAUUCUGCACUGGUUGCAUGCACUGGGACGGGAAGAAUUGCAUGGCAGGGGCAACUCACUCGUGGGGAUCAUGGACUAUCUACAAUCAUGCUUGAGGCAGUUGCAUCACAAGAUACUUGGAUUUGACAUUCAUUUUUUGGCGUUGCUGGUUCAAACAACGACAUCAAUGUGUUGAACCAAUCACCAUUGUUCACCACCGUGUUGGAAGUUAAUACAAUAUGGGGUACUAUCUAGUAGAUGAGAUAUAUCUGAAUGGACCGCAUUUGUGAAAUCAAUCCCUCUGCCUCAUAAUCAAAGGUAUAAAAUAUUCAAGAGUCAGCUAGAAACGAUGUUGAAAAUUUGGAAUUGUACAAGCUCGCUUUGCCAUUCUACGACAUGCAUCUUGUUUUUGUCACCGCUCGACCUUUGCCGACAUCAUCUAAGCGUGCAUUAUAUUGCAUAACAUGAUAGUAGAAGUCUAGAAGAUGAAUGAGAUACGUAUGCUGGCAAACAUGACUAUAAUUAUGACCAAGGGAGAAAGCCAAUACCACUAGUAAUAAUCUACCCUGGCCCUAUUGAUGGUUUCACCAAUGUACUGGCCAGGAAGGAUUCGUGAUAGAAGGAAUUUGUUGAAUGAGAUGUCUGAGUGAGUGCUACAAAGAUGCACACACGAAUUAAGUACAUGUCUACGCUUUUUUGAGGGGCAAGGACAAUAGGUAAAAAGAUCUAUUGUCAUAGAUUAAUCAAAAGAGACUACAAAAGUGAUGAAAAAAGAAAAAUCAUCUAAAGAAUUAAGUACUUGUCUAGGCUUGUCAGCAUUGGAGUAAGUUUAUUUUAGAUAGGUACUUAGUGAUAUGGCAAAGCUCUUCCUUUUUAAGCACCUGUGUACAAGCACCAAGAUGCUCUUAUACAGCCAUCCAGAUAUCAGUACAUGCACAUGUGUGGAGUGAGGGGUGUGGAUAACAUAUGCCAGCCUCGUCAAAUAGGGGUGUUUAAAAACAGGUUGAGUUGAACCCGUGAAAACCAGUAGUUCAAAAUUGUGUACUGGCUUGAUUGCUCGACGGGUGAUUAGUGAAGGCAAAUGCACUAGCUUGCUGAUUCCCGAUUUCCAUGGGUUAAAGAUCAACCCGUUUCCCCCUUGAAAAAAAAAGAACAACCCGUUUAUGAACACCCCUGUCGUCAAAAGGCGUAUCUGCCUUGUAGUGUUUCACAAUUUUAUUUUAUUUUGACGGAAAACAGUAGAUCAAAAGACCUGUAUAAAUUUUUAUUAUUAAAUCAAUUUUUAGGAUAAUUUACUUUUGUCUUGUGUGAACUUCCAGCAGCUCUUUUUUUUUAGAAACAUAGUACAAACAUAUACUCUCACAAACACGCGCGUCACUCAUCCUGUGUAUGCCUCAACUCCAAUUUUUAUUGUUGUGUUAGAUUGACCUGUUAUCCCCUUGUUCUCCAUGAAGGAAUGCACACAGAUAGCUGGAUGACCAUCGAAAGUCCAAUUCAUUGCCAACAUGUAUUGGUUCCUCCAGGCAUAUAUGGUCAGUGAUCGUUGGUGGACAAAUCAAAAUUGGUACGUAUAUGACAGGGUAGCUUGACGAAAUGGUCAUUGAUGAGGAAACUGGAGUGGCAUGUAUUCUGCAGUGUGCACCUAACCGUGUAAAUAACAUCAGGUUCAUACAUUCCUUUCGUCAAGCAUGAAUUAUACAACCUGACACUACGCACAUGCUAUGUGUACUUUUUCUUAAGUGGAGAUGUGUAGCCUAGCACACAAGAGUGAAGGAAAUUAUGUUCAUUGAUGAGUCAAUAGUUUGAAGCGACCUUAUACACAUAGAAAUAGAAUCGAUUGAUACUGAAGUUGAGGACAACUUGCAUAACUGAUAAAAAAAAACCCUUUGCAUAAGCAUAACCGAUGCCUUGCUGCUGAGGAUUAAAAGACAUUCUGUUUUCUUAAAGGGAUUAAGGCUCCAUUGCGUGGAUUGCCAUAAUCUGUUUUUUCCGUCUGUUUUUUAUUAUUGAGUAAAAUACACCGUUAGUCACUGAAUUUCUGUUGCCCGUUCAAUUUAGUCCUCGUUCUCUGAAAAUGCUCAUCUGGAUUAUCGAACUUAAAAAUACGGUGCAAUACGAUCCUAUACGGUGAAAUAUGUAUUUCGCUGACCUGUCAAGUGUCUGACAAGUGGGACCCACCUACUGACAUGCUGUGAAUUGCAAUUAACCCCCUCUGCAUCCCCACUCAACUCCACUCCGACCCAUCUCCACCCAUCCCUUCCCCCUUCCUUCUAUCCUCUACCUCCAGUCCAAUGUCGUUCGCAGCUCCAUCUGACAGGGCGCACCACCGUUGGGUGCUCCGAGGACGCGGAGCUCGAUGAUGUGCACAACUACGGGGGAGAGGCCGUCCCCGCGCAGCGUGCUCUGCGCGGCGGGCGGCGGGGGGAAGCACGUGGUGGUGUUCGGCAGAGAGGUCGACCCGACCGACCUCGGUGCCGGCAAGUUCUCCGCCGAGGCCUUCGCGCCGGCAACUCGCCCACCAACGACCGGCUCGGCGACAUCUUCUUCGCUCCACUUCUUUGAUCAGAUCACCUGCCGGUGCGAGUUGCCUGGCGGACGCGGCUCGGCCGGCAUGGACGGAUCUGCAGCGAAGGGAGGCGGCGGCAAAGCUGCGGUUGGCCGAGGAGCAGGCGGAGCUGUAGCGCGCCCACUGCCUGGAGUGGGACCGACGAAGAGAAGCUGGCAGACUCGUGGUGGCGGUGUGAUGGACUACAGCAAUAGCUGUAGCCUCCAGCUGUCUACUGGUGUCAGGCACCAUGAGCGACGGCGUGGCCCCCCUCUUGUAUCCGAGAUCCUCCGAUCCGAAGAGAACUCGAGCCUGAGCACCGGUAUGCAGCAGGAUUAGCCCGCUUCCGACCCCCCCCCCCCCCCCCCACGGGUCCAUCCAACUCCAUCCGAAGAGAACUCGAGCCUGAGCACCGGUAUGCAGCAGGAUUAGCCCGCUUCCGACCCCCCCCCCCCCACGGGUCCAUCCAACUCCAGCCGCCGCUUUCCCUACCUGGGGGGUCCAUCCAACUCCAGCCGCCGCUUUCCCUACCUACACCCGCCCGGUGGUGGUCGACGAAAUGCUCCGCCGAGCUGCAGCGGCGGACAAAAAUGGUGCUGUCCGCUGAGCCUCUGAACAGGGCGCAGCAGGGCAGAACACAACCUUCUUGUGGCCCUUUUGAGACAGUUGUAACGAAAACCACCGAUUUUACUAAUUUUCGCGCAGAACCACCACAAUUCAGUAAGUUUUUGCACGUACCAUUGAUUCUAUCGUUCGGGGCGUGGAACAUCAUUUCUGACACCUCAGGCCCACCUGUCGGGUUGACCAGCCCGACCGGCGUUAGCGUCCUCCGUUAGCUCUGAGUGAGCCGCACCCCUCUCCAUUCUCCCCCUCUCAACCAAAGCUCUAUCUUCCCUCAUUUAUCUUCUUUGUCUCUUGGCGAGCAGCCGCAUGGAGUUGCCGCUCCAGUGCGCACACCGUUCCGAGACACCGCACUCUCGAGGUUCGCAACACCGCCUCGCUCCUCCCCUCGGCUCCGGUGAGAUCCGCCUCCGCGCUACUCCGCAGUCUCCGCUCCACCGCCCACAUGUGGUGCUGGUUGGUUCGAGUUGGGGGAUUUUGGGGCGAGAUGGCGUGGUUGUAGUGGUAGCUGCGGUUGUCCUCGGGGCGUCCUGCAGCGGUGCGGAGUCCGGUUAGAGUUGGGCAGCGGCCCUGCUUCGAGGACGACGCGGCCAACGGCGAUGAUGGCUCACACAACCUUAUCAAAGAGGUAGACUAGCGCGCAUGGCCGCUACCGCUGCAGCAAAUUCCCCUCGCCCGCCAGAUGAUUGGUAUAACAUGAAUCGGAGGCUCAGACCGGUCCAAGCGGAGCUAACUGAAGGCACUAACGCCAGGGCAGGCUGGUCAACCCGACAGGUGGGCCCGAGGUGUAAGAAAUGAGGUUAUACGCCCCAAACCACAGAAUCAGUGGUAUGUGCAAAAACUUACUGAAUUGCGGUGGUUUUGUGCGAAAAUUAGCAAAAAUGGUGGUUUUCGUUACAUGUGAUGGUUCUGCGCAAUUUACUCCACCGUGCUAGGAGAAAAAAAUACUACCAGUUUACAGACUAGAUUUCUAACUUUCGAUAGUUUGUCUGAUAAUUUUUCUUCAUCAGUUUUGUAAAUAUUUCUUUUCGAUUAAUAUAUUUGCAAUAGAUCAUUGAUCUAUUGUUUCCCUCAAAACUAAUAAUUUGCAGCAGCACGCCCACCCUCUAGCCCAAGCGCCCAAUUGUGCGUGCAAAUUUUCCAGAAACCCUCCCAGCCGCAUGCAUCUCUCCCAACUCCCGAUUCCUCGUGCCGACCAAAGCCUCUCGCACCGGACGCUGAGAUGGAUCUCCUCAUGGCGGCCACCACGGCUAGGGACGGCGAGUAGCCGAGUAUGCUUGGAUGGAGACUGGGAAAACCUGCUUGCCCUCCCCUCUCUUGAGUUCAGGAUGCAACAUGGAGUAUGCUCUCCAAUCGGGCCAUCAAGACCGUCGGAAAGUACGACCGCGGGACGGACCGCUACGUACCCACAUUUUCCAGGACAACGAAUUCAGCGUCAGGUAUGACUACGGUAGCUUCUAUGCCUCCAAAUCUUUUUACGACCCGGUAAAGAGUCGUCGUGUCGUUUGGGGCUAGGCCAACAAGUUCGACAGUGUAUGACCACAAAAUAAAGGGUUAGGUUGUAAUCUAGGUGUGGGUGCACACUACAUUAGUACCCUCUCUGUAUAGAGAGCGUAUAUAAUUUUCAGGUUGUUGUAUUUUUAUCCAAUUGUAGCUGACUACUAACUUGUGCCCCUCCGAUUCAUAAAAAGUAUCGUUUAUUUCUAUGUUUCAGGUCGUUGUGAUUUUAUCCAAUUGUAGCUAACUACUAACUUGUACCCCUCCGAUUCAUAAAAGUGUCGUCACUUAGUACCUCUUUUCUAUUUCAAAAUUAUAAUAAAAUUUGUACUAACUUAGUAUAAAAUGGGCGACACUUUUUAUGAAUCGGAGGGUGUAAAAUUUAUUUUGGAGUGAACUCCAUAUCUGCACUACCACUUUUCCGUUCCAAAAAUUCUUCUUUCGCACACAGAAACCAGAGUGUAAAUAUUCUGUAGAUACUGACAGGUGGUUCUUGGAAGCAAAUGGUAUGGUGAGCUUUAUGUGGUUCUGUACCAGAGCUCGUGUGUUUGAAUAUGUGAGUAAGGUGGUUCUUGGAAGCAAAUGGUAUGGUGAGCUUUAUGUGGUUCUGUACCAGAGCUUUAUGUGGUUCUGUACCAGGCGGCCUUCCGUAAACAUUGGGGCAUUUUCGUAGGGCCACUUUUCUAAGUCAACUGAUCGAUGGGCUUGAGAAGAAGUCCUGCUGCCGCAGAAAAACAGGCCGGCUGCAGGGAGAGGCAGCUCGAGCAGGAAUGUAUAUAACACAUGAUCUCCUUACCAUCCAGGUCUGGUACUCGUUUUUGGCGGCGGCCUUGGCCCUCGAGUCCAUGGUGAAGAGUCACCGUUUGGUGAUAGGCCAGCGAGUUGGACAGUCUGCGACGACGAAAUUAAAGGUUAGGCUGGAAUUCAGGUGAGAGUGCACAUCAAUUUAGGCCAGCGAGUCGCCGUUUGAUCAAAUUUCCUAAAGUCUAUAUGUCUUACAUUCAUAUUUAGGUAUGUAAAGUGUAAAUCUUAUAUGUUUACCAUUUUAUAUGCACGGCGGAGCCAUGUGCAACAAGGGGACAACCACCCCCCCCCCCCCCCACACACACACACACACCCACACACACACACAACACAAAAAAAAUGGGACUUAGGUGAAAGAAAGAAAAAAAUUUAGUAGGUUCGUAAAUUGUAAAGCUUAUAUAAUUUACCAUUUCAUGUUUAUGUUUCUCUGUAUAUGUGUAAAGGUUAUAUAAUUUACCAUUUCAUGUUUUAUGUUUCUCUUAGGAGUUUCUCUGUAUAUGUGUACUACUGAUCUGGUUGUCUCAAAAUGGGAAGAUUGUUCAUACAGUGGCCUAUCAAAGAGCAUACAUGUAGGGACCUACAUACAGGUUGGUGCACAGUUAAAAUAUACUCCAUGCGACUCAUUUAUAAGAUAGUCUAGUUUUGCUCCAUGUACAAAAGUAAUAACCAGUCACAAAAAAAGUUUACUUCUAAAUAUCAAAUAAGUAUAUUACGAAGGUAUACAUCACGACGGAUUUAAUAAAACUUAGUUUUGUAGAUAUUGAUAGAUUAUACUCCAACCCACGUCAGCUAGUUGGCCUUGCCGCGUCAGCCCGUAGACCACACCCAGUCACCCAUGUCACCUCCGUCAACUACGGUCAUGUUGUACCUGCUUGUGUUUUCAUCGUCUAUAAUAUGCCCCCAUGGCCAUUUCCUCACCUUUUAGGCUAUGUUUGGUUAGGCAUAAAUGUAGCUUUUGAUUUUGGCUUAUAAGCCAUAAAAAUGCCUAUUUAGGUGCUUUUGAUUUUCUUUUUGGCCGUUGAGUUGAUAUUACUAGGUGAUGGUAUAAGCAAAAAGUCAAAAUCAAAAGCACAUAAAUAUGUGCUUUAGUGGCUUAAAAGCCAAAAAUCAAAAACACAUUUAAGACUAACAAAAAAUGGCCUUAGCCUACUAGCUCGCUGAAACAAAGACCGUGCCGGUGCCCGUCAUUAUCCAUAUGUUGCCACCAUUUUCCGGCAAGCCGCCACCUUAGUUCAUUGCUUGGUCGUCGCCACCCUGCAUAAAGCCGACGACGAACUCACCGUCGUCCCUCAUCUUCUUCCGCGCCACCUUUUCUUUCCCUAGCCCGAACCACUGUCGUUGCCCAGCUUCUUCCAUGAUGGCUGCACGGUCGUUGCCUCACACCGCUUAGAGACCGUGAAAAUGUUAAUAGAACGGAUUACUUAGAUAGAAUUAAGGCAGUAGUAUAUAAUAGAAGAGUGAACACGAUUUUUCCUCUAUCAUGAUUGUUUUUUUCAUAACUAAGGUUCUUAUUUCAUUGCUCCGGUGCCGUCAACGCGUCCAGCAUAUAUUUGGAACCCCUGUAUUGGCGGAGCUAGCCGAUCCGUGGAGCCUGGACAAGAUAUAUGCCAUUCUUUCUGAACGAAAAUUUGUCCAUAGUAAUUUGCUGAUCUAAUCAUCUUGCUUACUAUUUGUUGUAGUAAAAUAAAACCCUUAAAUGGACCGGGCAAUAUAUCAUAUGUGGCGACGACUAGGUCAACAUUUCUCAAGACUGGUCAACUUACCAACAAGGCACCGGUCAUGGGAUUCAACAAAUCAAGCCUCUCAUGUCAUGGUCAAAAUGGAAGAAGGGCUUGAGUAGGGAAGAAGGAAGCUAUUAAGGGGGCUAGGUGCAAAAGUGCAAAAGGUGUAGGGAUAGUCUUUUGGUCCAUUAUCGACGUGUCAACUUGUUCAAGUUUACGGCAACCUUCGCUAUAAGACCGGCAUACACGCCCUAUACACACUUGUGCCAUCGAGCAUUGACACCCCUUACUCUUGUUGUUGUCGAGAACAACAACACUAUUGUUAAGGAGGGUUUAAUUAGAGGAGUUUGGGCAAUUGGCCAGGGUGCCCGGGCGCUGGCUCCGCCCAUGAACCCCUGCUUUACCAUUGUUUGUAGUUUCAGCCCAUUUGACCUCGAAUCAGUAAUUUUUUGAUGGAAAAAGAUAGUAGAUCAUAGACCUACUGCCAUAUAUUGCAAAGUUAAAAACUGUACAAGAGUGAAAAUCAUACAAUGCUAUAUCUAAAAGAUGAGAUCCAUGUCUCAAAAUAUACAUAUUUCUUUCUCCUUGAUCUAUGAAAGACUAAAUUUAGCUCCUCCUUGAAAAGUUUUCUGCAUCUGUAGAAGCUGGGCCGAAUGUUGUUGAAGAUAAAUUUACUACGAGUUUUCCAUAUGCUCCAAGUACACAGAACCAUGAUUUCGAGGUGAAAAGGCACACUGAGUUCCUCCUUUAUGUGCAGCAUAUUAGCAUGAACACUUUGCUUGGCAGAUAAGGUAGGGCAGAUAUAUAGAUAUAUUCCUAGCAGGCUCAAGCAAAUUUGCAGUGGAAGAAGAGUUAAACUCUGGUUUCUAAGACUCUGUCUCCACCACGCAUGAUGCUAUCAUAUGAGGGGAUGGGAAAUUGUUUCUUCCGGAGCAUAGCUCUGGUGUUAAGUCUGUCAAUUAGAAGGAAACAGAAGAAGAAUUUAUGCUUCAGUUGACAACAACUAGCACAGAGCCAUUUCAUGGAGCUCGGGGUGUCGAAGUGAUUAAUCUGUGCAAGCUGGGAUGAAAUCCUCUUUGUUCCAGAUAUAUGACCAAACAUUCUUGUCCAUUGAUGAGGUGGUAUUUGUAACAAGCUCUUGCAUUUGUGUAAACUAUUCAUACGCCUCCUCCUGAGGUAGAGGAAGGUGGAAAAGGCUAGCAAUGUCCUCGGUGUCAAGGAUCUCUAGGAUAGAGGAGUUCUGGUUGAUGACAAAAGAGUAGAGCCGAGGCCAUCGAGUCUCAAAAGUGCUUGCUGUCCAAUUGUCCUUCCAAAAGAGGAUGGUAUUUCGCUUGGAAUGCUUGCAUAUAGCUAGUGUUUGAAGUCCUCUAAGAGCUUGAGGAUAUCAUUCCACCAGAAUGAGGCAUUGGCCCUAUAUGAGGGCGAGGAAAUCCAGCAGAGUAGUACUGCUCCCAUACCCAGUUAACCCAAGGAAUAGCAUGCAUAUUGAAGAAUUUAUGUUAGUUCUUAGGCAAGAGUGCACUAUUCUGGAAACUGAGGUUGAUGACCCAAGUCCACCCUCAUUUUUAGGUCUACGGACCAUUUCCCAUGCAGCAAGUGGUGGGUUCUUCUUAGUUAAAUCUUGUCCUCACCAUAAACAAUGUCUUCUGUAUAUAUUAAUUUGCUCAAGGACACCAUUGGGGAUGAGAAAUGUGAUCAUGUAAAAGGAAAGUGCAGGGAGAACAGAGUUCACCAGCUGUUUCCCUUCAUAUGAGAGCAUAUUAGAAAAGCAAGCAGCAAGCUUGUUUUCAACUCUCUUAAUCAGUGGUAUGAAAUCUUGUAUCCUGGGUUUUGUAUGUCCCAGUGGCUGCCCCAAGUAAGGGAAUGGGAGGCUCUCUAAUCUGCUGCAGCCAAUCGAAUCAAUAAUUUGCUCCCACCUUUCAAGUUAUUAUUAACUCUACUAAAUAUAUAAGCUUAUACAUGGUCUGGUGAUGGUGAUGAUCAACACACGCAUCAAUCGCAUUUUCUCUCAGCUAUAUAUACGUCAUGUCGUACGUAUUCAAGCAAAUUUUGGUGAAAUUUGCCAAAUUUCAUUCAUGGUGAAAUUUGCCAAAUUUCAUUCAUGUCGAUCCCCUCAAUAAAAAUCGGUUUUGCUGAAAAAUAACGCCACAAUAAUUUGAAUUCUGAAACAAAUCAAAGAAUCCAAAAACUACUUUGGCCCGAACACAAAUACACAUAUUCAGUCCAUCCAUAGUUCCAUACUACUCGUCAGACCACGUGAUGUCCUGCAAGCCUUGGUUCCGGUCGAGGCCCAGCGCGUCCCACACCGCGGGGGAAGCGUCGACGACGUUGUUGCCGCAAGGCGCCUCGAAGUUGUGCUCGGCGUCGCAGCCGUGCACGGAGUCGCACUCGUCCACCACUUUGGCGGACACGGAGCCCCCGCCCGGGACGACCGUGAUCCUCACACUGCGGCCGCAGCGGGCCAUUCCCGCAAACCAGCCGGUGGAGAGCGCGACCACGAGCUCCGAGUCGGCGUGGAAUGCGUUGUCGCACUCUGAGGGGCUGCCGCCGUCCUUGCCUUCCCUGAAGCUGUUGAGCGUCAGGACGGCCGCAUUUGCGGAGGGCGCGGAGACUGCGGGUGGCGAGCAGAGGAACUGCGUGUACUGCUUGCCGUCCUCGCAGCAAUCCGGGCUGUUGCUCUUGUCGCAGUCGCCCGACUUUCCCGGGAGGAUCCCGCUGGGCUGGCAGUCGGAGGACGCAAUGUGGGAGGUGGAGAGCAGUGUGGCCAGGCCCAGGAAGAAGAUCGCCAUGGUGGCCCGAGCUGCUCUCGCGGUCGCCAUCUUUGGCCGAGCUGAAAAUACACUUGAGCGGAGCUAGCUUCUAGUACUCUGUUUUAUGAUUGUCUCCCCCUUGGCUUAAUAUCACGGCCACGGGAUUAGAGCUUUGCGAGAACUUGCACACUCCUCGGUCGUCUUUCCACGUGGUGAACUAUGGGGACGAACUGAGUUGUCCUCCAGGCUCCAGCCAUCACGCGGGAAGAAAGGGGGGCGAGCCUGGAAGCCUCCGCUGGCAUAAGCAACAAGUCGACCACAACGGAGGCAUAAUCGAUGCGGUGGAAGAAAAAGAGGAGGAAGGGGCGCUGGCCCGGAAACCUCCGCUGGCCGUCGAUCCCAAUCCAGCCACACGAGGGAUGCCUACACCGGAGUACGUAGGCCAAACCAAAACUAAGAUCGUGUGCAGCACAGAUGUUUGGACGUUGGGUUGUUGUAUGCACACUUUCCAUGGUGAUUGGUCAAUUUUGUGGGCAGUCGCAGCUAGCUUGAUCCGUAUCUUUUGGCUUAAAUCCAAAACUCUACAUAGGCCCCAAGUGGAUCCAGCUGUUGAAAAUCCGCCCUGAAUUGGCACUCGACAACAGCGGCCCAAAUGGCAAUUCACAAUCACGCCAAGUCAACUGAUCUUAUUUUUAAAAGAGAAAAUUUCACAAAACCACGCAUAUUGGGUCAGUCUUCUCACGCUGCCCCCUCUUUUACUAAACAUAGCUUUACAGUCACAAUGUAAUAAGAAAUGAUGAGUUUAGUCCAUUUGACAGUUUUCCUUACGUUCCGGGCCCACCUGUCAGGUGACAUGUCGGACAGACCCGACCCGACCCGACCCGAUAGCCCGUUAAGGUCCUAUGUGCCAUGCAAUUUAUCCACUCAGCCCCCAGUUAUUCCCAUUCAUUCUUUUCUCCCCCUUCUUCCCAUGCUCAGACUGCCACCUCGCCGGCGCUGCGGAAGAGGCUGUGAUGGUGACUAGACGCUGCGGCGGCUGGAGUUGGCACCAAGCUGGCCAACGGCGAUGGGGAGACGGCAGGCGACGCUAGGGGGGGCUGGGCACGGCUAGGCAUGGCGACGGGCUGUGGUGGAUCGAUGAGGUGGCAUCUAUCUCUUGUUUCUCUUUUUUUUUCCUUCUCGUGAGGCCAUGACUCCCUCCUCUCUCCCUCCCCGUGACUCCCUCCUUUCUUCUUCUAUCUUUCAUUUCUCCUUGAGACCUACGGCGGCAACUUUUUACCUAAUAAGAGGCAACUUUUUAGUUGCAUCUUUCACCCUGAGACCUACGGCGGCAGAGGGGGAGCCUGAAGUUGUAAUGGUCCUUUUUAGAAGGUGGGGGUGGGUGGGGGGGUGGGGGUGGGGGGGGACGGACCACUGACGAGGGGCUACCUGGCAUAACCAAACUAAAGGCUUUCGACUAGAGAGAGCACGGGUGUGUGUUGGCGAUCUCGUCGGCUAACAAGGACACAAGGGGCACGAUUUACCCAGGUUCAGGGCUCUCGGAAGGUAAUACCUCUAUGUCCUGCUUGUCUGAUCUGGUAUUGAUAGAGAGAUUACAAAGGUUGCCACGGAGGCGUGUAUGAGAGAUGAGAUCUGUGUAUCCGUCCUCCCCGACUCCUCCUCCUAGUCUUUUAUAUAGGAGGUUAGGUCUCGGGCGUAGAGUCUGAGUCGGUUACAAUUAAAGAUAAAUCCUGAUUUAGUUUGCUUAAUUAUCUGUUCUUAUCUUGAACCGCAAGCCGAGGUAGUUGGGCUUCACGGAUUGUCUGGGCCUUCGUGUGGGCUUCCUGUUAGGCUGUAGCGGGUAUACAAAGGUUGAAGACUCGAAGGGUCGUUCCCUCGUCAACCACGCUUACCAUAUUUGGGUGUGCGCCCUCCUAGAGCACGAGCACUCUCUGGCAGGGUCCAAACAAAAUACUAGAUGAACAUAGCACUGCACUGACAUGAAUCUGCAAGCACUUCCUUUCUCCCUCUGUCCAAAAUCCAAAGGCGAACCAUCCAAAAGAAAAGUUUACUGCAGGACACCAGCCACAUCCGUCAGUGUGAACAUCGUGCCUCUGUUCUGUUCUGUGUUCUAGCAGUUGCGCUGGUUGAUUAAUUCCUUCCCAAGCUUCCAGCCGCCGCUUUACUGUGGGCGUGGAACCAUACCGCGGCCGGUCAAGCCGCUAGACUCCGCACGCACGCACGCUUGCAAAACUUGCUGGGGCCACGCAACGCAGUUUGAUUCUCUAGCUUCCAAAUCCCAACAACUCGCCAGCACUUUGGUUGAUAAUUCGACGCCUUUUGUUUUCUUCCCCUGUGCUGCUUCAAGCGAUCGGCGGGGGGAAAGGGUCGGCGCCUCAAGGGAGAAAGGAGCUGAGAGGGGCACUUUUGCGUGCCAACAGUGUUCUUCUCUCCAGCACCUUUAAGCAGAGAGGGGACACUUUUGCGUGCCAACAGUGUUCUUCUCGCAGGUGCUCACUUUACCACGAACCGAUGAUCGAAAUCCGAAACAUGCACGUGUGAAAUCGAUCGUCUCAAAUUUUAACUACAAUCACCACAAUGAUUUAGGAACAGAGAGGAGUAACUACUCUCGUUCUACUACCUAGCUAGAUCAAGUUCACUGUAGUGACCAAAUAACCUUGAAAUGUUGAAACCAAAUUUUACGAAUAAAGUGCUCUGCUGGCCUAGCUAGCUACCUAGAUGGAUGCGUGACCAUCCGAAAGAUAUGAACCAAACAAUCUAGCUUAACCGAAUGGCUGUCUAUACAAAGAAAUAUCAAUUCAGAAUAAAUUAACUACUUACUGAACGAAGGAAAAUUCCGCGUUCUUUUGCAUGCAUAUUUUUGCACAGAUAACGCACAAACUUUAACCCUAAUUAAGACGCAGGACCUCGGACGCUGAAAAAGAACACGCCAGUGUGUUUAAUCUGCCAGCAAAAUGUUGCGUGCAACACUGUAGCAGCCUGGCUCAUGCCUCGAAGCGAACGAGCAGAUCACUGAAUGCGCCAUACGUAUGUAGGACUCCUACGAGAUUGAGGAAAGCAAAAGGAUGCUGCCUACUAGAAUACUAUCUAAAAAAAAAGCAAGAACACGUACAUGAGCUUUCAUUCAUUAUUCAUCGAUUAUUCGCGUCAGAUUGCAACACGUACAUGAGCUUUCAUUCAUUAGUCAUUGAUUAUUGGGCGCAUCAGAUUUCAUUUUAGUUAAUACUUACUAAUCAACUCAUUAAAAAUCAUUUUAAAAUUGGUGAAGACUCUAAUUUCGCCUCCCCCUAAUCCCAACUCGUCCUCCUCAUGUCAAAUUCCUGGCUCCGUCACUGGUGGACAAUGAGAUAAGUUUACAAAAAAAAUGAGUUAAAAUUCCUUGGAUAUGGCUUAAAGAUGAGUGGUCUGAAUAACUGACAGAGUAACGGAGGUUUUAUAUGCACACGAUCUGACUGCUAGGUCGACAUAUUAUCCCAGGCAUCGAUCCUCAGCAGCUAGCGCGCGUACAAGUUCAUAUGAAUCGAUCGUGUCCUGUACUCAUGUCUGCAAGUGCAUGUAUGUAGAUAUACUUUGCAUGAUCUUAUCUACCAUUCGAAAAGUACUACAUUGGCUAUAAUUAGAAGCGAGCUGCUACCAGUAACAAUUAUAGCAGGAUCCUAGAUAAACAAGAUUUAACGUUGCACUCAAGAAGAUAUUGUGUUCUGUUUUGAUUCUUUAGAUCGACACAGUGUAAAAGUACAACAAUAAUUAAGCUAGCGCGAGCUGGUUACACCAUACAACUAUAGCAAGAUAUCGAAAUCGUCUAUGUGCAGUGCGAUGGAUCAACCGAAUAAAAAUUGUUAAUUAAUUCGCCGGGUUAGUUUAUCCCCACCGGACGAAACAAAAAAGGGACCAUACAUGCAUAUCUCACCAUUGGAUUUCCAUGGUAGGCACAAAACAAAAAAGAUUACAACCUAUAUACUCCGUCUAUACACUAGCUGAUAUUAUUGCAGACUCCGUAUAUACGCCAUGAUCAGACUAGCUAGGUAGCUAUAGUCAAUGUCAGCGGAGCAUAAUUGAACUGACAAGCAGAAAAUUAAGUGCAUGCACAACAACAUUUUCGUUUAACAAUUAAUUAACUGUGUAACUAUAAAUAUGAAUUGCAAGCUGUGCAAGUAUUGUCGAAAUAUUACAUGUAUCUAGACGCUUUUUAGAAAUAGAUACAUCCAUUUUUUGGCAAAUUUGAGACAAGAAUUAUGGAACGGAGGGAGUACAAUAGUUUGCUGAAACAUACUCCCUCCAUUCCUUAAGAGAUGUCAUAUUAGUUUUCAUUAAGACAAUGCUUUGAAUGUUAAGGUGUGGUUUAUAUAACAUGAAGUUAGUAUCGCUAGAUUUGUAAUUAAAAGUAUUUCAUUAUACGUGUGGUUUCAUGUCAUAUAAAUCAGACUUUAACAUAGUUACUUCCUCCAUCCCAUAAAGAUUGACGCGGUUUUGAACUUGCUCUAGUUUAAAAUUGUGACAAUCUUUAUGGAACGGAGGGAGUAUUUGUGAUAAAAAUCUUGUCUUAAUAAAAUCUAAUAUGACAUUUUUUUAAAACGGAUGGAAUAAAAGGUAAACCAAAGCACAAGCAAAAAGGCCGACACGAAUCACGAACACCGAAAACACAUAACUGUCAACCUCAACCUGACACAACAUGACACCAACAGAGAAUCGCCUGGACUGCCAAGACUAGCUAAAAAGCAAGAACAGAGGAGCUUCGAUUCGUAUUUUUUUUGCGAGUAAGGAGCUUGGAUUCGUUAGUUAUCUAUAAUUCCGUGCGUCGGAUUGCACUCAUGGUUCAUGUAGUAAGCUUCAGCUACCACCACCUCACAAAUUGUGCUAUAGAUGCUAGCUUGGUCUCGAUUCUUUCCAUUUGCAUGCAUGCAUGCUAGCUUCCUACUCCACUAAUCCACAAACUAGCUUUACUCCAAGGACCGACGGGAAUGAGCAAGGCUGCUAUUUCCUCCUAUCCAGCCCCUUCAUUUUAACCCCGUCAAAAAGAAGCAACAAGCCUACGUACGUGUGCUAUAUGCAGGAGCCGCAGGCAUGCAUGUCCUCGUGGAGCAACACGAGCGCUGCGACGUGCAAACACAAGCUGACAAGCAUGCAUGCACCGUGUGAACGCCUCCUCUUAAGCGGAAAAGUUGGCCCUCUCCGUUUGCUUGGUUCAAAGGUCUUGUCGAUGGCUGCAACAAGCUUAGUAAAAACAGCGGCCCUUAUCACCCUGUGGGAGAUUUGGCUGGAGAGGAAUGGAAGAAUUUUUCAGGAGAUUGACCUCCCUGCUGUCCAGUUGUGCCAGAAAAUUCGCGAUGCGAUCAUUGUAUGGUCCUUUCCUUUGCCCGGGAUGUUUCAAAGAUAUCACGAAAGUAGGCUUCUUCUGACACGAAGAAAACCGUUGGGAUCGAUAUAUUGAUAUGGGCUCAGGCUAGCUAGGCCGGCGGCACAGUGCUACUGCUACAGUGCGUGCGUACAUGCUGUCAGGGCCACAAGUCUGUGAGCCAGCCGGCAACAACGGUGUGCUAGCCUGCGUCGGGUAUCGGCCGCCUAGCUAUAUAUAGCUAUAGAGGCCCCACGAGAACCCAGCCACGUCGCGCUGCAUGCAUAUGCAUGCCUCGGCCUGAGUCUGUCGCUAGCUAAGCAUACUAAUUAUAUCAGCGAAUAGGUAACGUAGAUUAUUGCACCUCAAAUUCUUUAUCUCCGUCAAUACUCUAGAUAUUAGUUUCGGAAUACAGCAUGCACGCAGCGCGCAGAUCUACUAUAUCGUCUCCGUGUGCCCAAUUCGCGGUCGGCCGGCGACCGACCGCGGGGCCACCAUGCACGUACCACCACCCAGUCUAGUACGUCCUCCAGGGCAUGGCCGCUUGUACUUGGACCUGGCCACACCAAAAAAGCGUAGCAUGCACGAAGUUUCUUUCACGAUCUCGGCGGGCAUGGUGCGCCAUCGUAUCGGCACCGGCACGAGUAUGUCGCUGGCUACCGCGGGCGGUCGACCCCGGUACGGUGCUGGAGAUGUACGUACGUACCGACCGAGUCACUUGCCACUUUGCAUUGCCAAGAGAUAUAUGGUCCAUCGGUCUCCACGUACGUAGUCGGUCUUACAUUACAUCAUCAUUGGUGAUGCAAGGGGCUCGGCCGGGUCACACACACGAGGACACCAAGGAUGAUCGUCUCACGUUCCAUGAGUCCACGGUACAUACGAGUUGAUUGGGAUUUAUUUCUUUUUGCCCCUAUGGAGAGCUCGAACGCUACUGGGACGACAGGCAGGACUGCAGGCCGGGCAUAUUCCCGUACGUGCUCUGCUGUCUCGUAGCAAUGCAUGUACGUGUCAAUCAAAUCAACCUCGCCGGGCGGCCGCCAGCUGCAUGCCUGGUUGCAUUGCAACUUCCAACGGCGCGCAAGAACGGGUGUGUGUGGACUUUCCUUUUGAGAUAAUCCUCAAAGUUUGAGGCUCAAACGUGUGUGCGUGUGACUUUCCCACACAGGCCGGCCCGCUUUGAGCGACAACCAUCCGUACAAGGAAUUAAUACCAAAGAGGCCGGCCGAUUCGUGCUGCCCCCACCAUUCAAAUAGAAUAAAACUACUCCAGUCCUGUAUAGACCAGCCCUGGUCGAGCUACGUGAGAAUGCAGAGAUCGGCAAAUGAUUUUUUUAAUACAAUGCAGUGCACGAGGACGUGACAAACUAAUUAGCUAGUACGUUCCAAAACACAUCUCAUAUAAAUUUUUUUCAUUUGUUCCACGAUACAAACUCAUAUGCAUGCUAGGUUAGUAGGCUAGCUAUCGUCGGAGGAAAUGAAAGAGGAUCAACUGGCGCUAAAGCUCUAAAGUGGACAACAGAGACGGAUCGGGGGGGAGCCCCCCCCUACUUACUAAUCAUUAAAAAUGUUGUGGGCGUCGGUUUGAAACUAUACUCCACAUGGUUAUGGCUUGUGAUCAGGUUAGAACAUGCGCGUGGUGGCUUUGACCUGCGUGCUAUCGCGGCGUAAAAGAUGGGCGAUCAGUAGUUUACGAAAAAGAGCAGGCCCAGAUCGUGCAUUUGUUUUACCUCCGCAUCCAAAGCGAUUGCAGGGGUAAUUAAAAUUGGACGUCGAUUAUUCAGUACUGUAGAAAAGCACGGAUUCAAUGGUUAAUUUUGAAGAGGUUGUACAUAUAGUAUAUAUAUGGUCAAAUUGGAGCGAGCAUUCUCGAUUCACUACUUGAAUUUGAUCCCGCGGUGAAUGUUCAUCAUUGAAUGUAAAUAUCUGGUGAGGAUCAACUGCUUUUAAUUGCAUACUUACAAUCUAUAAUUGCCCCCAUUUAUGGAUGCAGCCAUUUCUGUUUCGGGGGAAAGAAUUUAUGUUCUGUUCACAGCUAAGGAAACACUAUUGAUGUUCUCUAUAAUUGCCCCCAUUUGUGACGUCCAGCUCUAUAAAUAUACUAGGGUGGAGGCAUCAUUAUUACUCCCUCCCUUUCAUAAUUCUUGUCUCAAAUUUGACUGAAAAUAGAUAUAUCUAUUCCUAAAAAGUGUCUAGAUACAUGUAAUAUUUCGACAAGAAUUAUGAAACAGAGUAAAUAUAUAUUUACGAUCAGAUUCACAAAUCUGAUGGCAAAUCGAGAGGAUUCUAGGGAUUCACAGGUAGAUUUUGAACCAUAUUUAUGGAUCACAAAUAUAGAGUAGAGAUGCAGGUUAUUAGAUGGAGUCCGCAUUGAGGUAGUAAGCUCCAUCAAAAUAGCUUAUGGCCUCAUGCACUGUAUAAGCUGAUGUGAUCCCUCAUACUACUACUGGUGCUACUCCUUCCGUCCAACAAAACAUGUUUCAAGUUUAUCAAAAUUUGAAUGUAUCUAGACAUGACUUAGUGUAUAAAUGCAUUCAAAUUUGGUCCAAGUUGAAACAUCCUUUUUGACAGUACUGCGUGUCCGGAUUCCGAUUUGGCAUAAAGAAAUCGAUAAACAGUGUACUUGUGCAUGAACAUGUGGUCCCUUAUACUAUUGGACGGGACCAUUUUAAAGAUUGAUGGACCGUACAUCGAACAGAACGAGUAUGGCCCAACUCACGGAACAGUCUCUGCGCCAUCCAGGGGAUCGAACAACAGGGGAUCUUUACAUGUUGUCGUCAUCCAGGGGAUCGAAUGGACCGAUGAAAAAGAGCGGAUGGGCCGGAUAGGUGGAGCAACACGCUCCAGAGUAGGAAAUCCACUCUCCCCUAUAAAUAGGGCGGACCGAACUCCACCGCCUGCACCAUUCCAUCCUUCACCGGCAGUUUCAAUUCUCUUCCUUCCCUGUGCCGUACUCUUGACCAUGGACUCGAGGGCCAAGGCCGCCGCCAAAAACAAGUACCAGACCUGGAUGGUAAGGAGAUCCAUGUGUCAUAUAUAUUCCUGCUCGAGCUGCCUCUCCCUGCAGCCGGCCUGUUUUUCUGCAGGACUUUUGCUCAAGCCAAUCGAUCAGUUGACUUAGAAAAGUGGCCCUACGAAAAUGACCUAGUGUUUACGAAAGGCCGAGAAGCCCCCACCAGUCCGCAGAACCUACAGUGCGAGCUUCCGAUUUUCCUCUCACGACCCUAGAGCCCUAGACACUGAGAUCCCAAAGCAAACAUGUAUGUACAUAGGAACACAGACGGCCCUAGAGCCCUAGACACAGACAUUCCAAAGUUUUCCGAGGGUUGUUUUUUUUUUGCCACCGAUGCAUAAGGUCAUAUUUUUCCAAUACAUCUUAUACUAUUGUGAUGGUGUUGUGGGAGAAAUUUCAAGAUUUUUGAAAACUUUUACGCCGUCCAACCCUUGUCGGGCACUGGGGAGAUGGAUUUGGUACGCCUAUCCUCCCCAGUGCCCACCAUCGGUACCGUCCAUGUGCAUUGGGAUUGUAACUUUUAUUUUCCUUUUAGUUCUUUCUGAAAUGUUAUGUGAAAUGAUAAAAUAUUCUCCUCUCUUACAUGCACAUGACACACUCUGACCAUAUUUCAAAAUAUUGCCUCUUUCAGCAAAUUGCUUUUUUGAGGUACAUACUAAUUCAAAAACAAUGCUUAUCUCGUAUGGGCCAGGAACCACUGGGCCUAGGCCUUGAAAUCCGUGGCACAUGGUUGGCAUAUUUAGGAAUGGGAUAGGUCUUGAAGCCGAAGGGGGCAAGGAAAAAAAGACCAAAGUACGUAGCCAUGUGUUUCUGACUAAAGUGUCCGAUUUGAUUGACCCGAUCACGGGGAACUGGGACGAGGCCCUCGUUGAUCAGACUUUCUGGCUGGUCGAUAGACAGAGAAUUCUGGAAAUUCCUCUCCCACAUAAUCCCAUGGCUGAUUUUGUCGCUUAGGAUCUGACUAAGACCCACACUUUCUUCGUCAGAUCUACGUAUCAUGUGGAGUGGAACCAUCAAUUUGGACGGCGGUGUUAUGAUUGUGGGCACCAAGGUCCGGUUGCUGAUCACCUGCUAUGGAGGCGAAUUUGGGAUAUUCGUGUGCUGGCAAAAGUUAAAAUCUUCCUCUGGAAAACCCUACAUGGGGCGAUGCCAUGUUCCACGGUUUUUGUUGAUAAACAUGUAAAGGUCAAUCCUCAAUGUCCCCAAUGCAAAGUGGCACCGGAGGAUAUAGCACAUGUAUUAUUCAGGUGUCCACAGGCGCAAGUGAUUUGGGCGAAGCUAGGUCUUUCUGAGGUUGUUGUUGAAGGCCUGAUGACAGACAGAGCUGGGCCGGCCGUUCUCGAGUACCUGUUGUGUGCUCCACUUAGAACCCAGGCCCCUGUGACGAACUUGGUGGAAACUGUGGCAGUCACGACCUGGCAUAUAUGGUGGCAACGUAGAAAGUUUGUCCACAAUGAACCUCGGUUGUCUGCACUGAGCUCGGUCUUCGCUAUUUCCACUGACCGUGUGGAGGUUAUGGUGAUGGCUCAUGGCGCUGAUGCUGGAAGGGACGCUGCGGGAAGCGGCGCAGUCCCAACCAAAUCCGGCAGAAUGGCGAAGCUCCCCCUGGAAGCCGGAGAACAUCGCUGCUCAAGCUGGCACGUCGGUCCUGCCGCCGAAGCCGACCCAGCUCCAGGCCUCCAUCGAGCGGCUAACUACACCGGUAGCAUCAAACGCUAACUCGGCCCAGCUGCAGGCGGAGUUGGAGUUGGAGAGACAGAAGCUGCUAAAAAAGGCAGUCGACGUCGCCAGCACCCGACAACAGCUCGAGAUCUCGCUUCGUGAGUAUAGCAAAGCUCAUGGUCUUAGUUCUACUGCGUUUACUAACCCUAGCAGAGUUGGGGAGUUGCGUAACCGUGGCAAGAACUUGAAUGCCGAGAUGGCAAGAGAUGGCAGGGGUGUGCCAGCUGUGUCGGCAAGUUUUGCCUCGGUACUAAAGCCGAAAUACAAUACCCUAGCCAAAAAUCUCAGGGCUGCCGAAGCUGCAGCUGAAGAGUUGCCGCAUCUUACGGGAGAGGCACUUCGGCAGCAGCAGCUGCGCGUAAAAGAACUGCUACAAACAGUUAAUGAGCAGAAUGAGGCAUACAUGAGAAUGCACGGUAAACCCGGUGCAUCGCAGGUCAUUCAUUCGGAUGCAGAUGCUGGUGCCCGGGUUAACAAACAAGCGUCCUCACCUGGUGGCAAACGGGACAAAAGCGUUAACUCUGGCAAGGAUAAGCAGUUGGAACGCUGCCCAGGCCGAGAAAGAAAUAGUCAGAAGGGUUGAUGACAACCAAAGUGGUUUGCAUCCCGGCGGCAACCGCCGAGAUCAGCAGGAGCGUCACUCGUAUGAUCAUGGGCACCGACCUUCGGGUCCGGCACCCAAUACUGCUGCGGGACAGCAGGGUGUCGGGCGCAACCCCUUGUAUCGAGGUGAAGAUCAUCGUUGUGACCGUUACGAUGACGGAUACUCGGCCAUGGCUGAUGAGGGUUAUAUCAGGCGAGAGCACGACAAUCUCGGUCCGCUCGGAGGCCGAACUGGGAACAGGCAGGUAUCGCCCCUGGAUGCACGACAUCAGCUUGACAGAAUUUAUCUGUCCGAGCUUCUGCAGGAGCAAGGCGCUCUAGGACCGCGUUGUUUCGCGCAUCGGAUCAUGAGGGAGAGACCAGCCCCGGGUUUUCAGCUGCCCAGGGGUACAAGAACGUAUGACGGCAGUACUAAACCGGAAGAUUGGCUGGAAGACUAUGUCACGGCAGUAAGCGUGGCAGGUGGCAAUCGCAGAUGGGCAGUACGUUAUGUACCCCAAAUGCUCGUAGGGCCGGCAAGGAUAUGGUUAAACAAUCUGCCGAAAAGCAGCAUCAAUUGCUGGAUAGACUUUGAGGAAGCAUUUGUCAGCAAUUUCACUAGCACUUACAAGAGGCCAAAUCGUCCUCAACAGUUGUCCAUGUGCAAGCAAAGAGACAGCGAAACCGAUCGGGAUUACCUGACAAGAUGGAACAAUCUCCGCAACCUGUGAAGGGAUAGUGGAAUCGCAAGCCAUAGCAUGGUUUGCCCAAGGAUGUCGACACGGCAGCAUGCUGUGGCAGAAGCUGCAAAGAGAGAUGCCGACCACUCUAUCUGAAAUGAUCAAGAUCGUCGACAUGUACGCGCUUGGCGAUCCGACUCAGCCAUCGCUGAUGCCGGCAGAACCACAAAGGGAGCAGCCGACAUACAAUCUUGCUAGGGCGUUCUGGAGGAACGAUCAUCAAGAUCAUCGCAACAAGAGAAGGGAUGACAGGCCGGAUUACCGGUAUGGCGCAGCCCAUGUCGCGCAGUUCAGGACCAGCCUGAUGCCGGCCCUAGCCAGCGUCAGAAAACAGGAAAUCAGCAGUGGGUCAAGAAGGGAGAACAAAAGAAGCCCUGGCAAGAUAAGCCGAAGUAUACUUUCGAGGUGAUGUUGGAUCAGCCUUGUCGUUUUCACACGACUAACCCCAACAAGCCGGCGAACCACACUACGCGACAAUGCAUCUGGAUGCAACGGGCCGAGAACGGCAACGCAAGCCAAUUACCCCCACCUCCACCCCUCACAGGUGCAAACGUACAGAUCCAAGGACCCCCGCAGGCAAACAAUGCAGUCAACCAGGUGGAGGGACAAGAAAUCCCAGGGUAUGCCGGGAGAAACGAGUACAAGGAGCAUCACCAGAGCUACAUGAUUUUCAUCACUGAGCCCACUGACAAGGAAAGUCAGCGCAGGCGAGAGACGAAAGUCAAUGCUGUUAUGCCGGCAGUUCCAAAGUUCAUGUAUUGGUCGGAGCAGGAGAUCAACUGGAAUCGGGCAGACCAUCCCAAGGUUAUGCCCAACCCUGGUGGAUAUGCCCUGGUGGUCGACCCGACGCUCAUUGGGCCCGACAUUAACGUCAAAUUCACUCGGGUUCUCAUUGAUAGUGGGAGCAGCAUCAAUAUCCUAUACCGGGAUACGAUGCUCAAGCUCGGCAUUACAGAUAACAUGCUUGAACCCAGCCGGACUACCUUUCACGGUAUUGUGCCGGGAGUAUCUUGUGCUCCGGUGGGAAGAUUCGAGUGGACGUCUUAUUCGGCACCAGGGAGAACUGUCGGACCGAAAAACUAGUGUUCGAGUUAUCUGAAAAUGAAGAUGCCGGGACCAAAUUGUACCAUAACCAUCUUUGGUAAUUACAAACGCUCAAUGGAAUGUGCGGCGGCCGGGUCUGCUUUGGCUGAGUCGCUGGUCAUCGCUGGCGAGAAGAAGAAAUUACAAGAAGCUGUUGCGAUGGCAUAGGCGGCACAAGUUGGCAGCCAAGGAGACAAAGAACGUACAGGUCGACAGCGAGUUCCCGGACCGCACCGUCAUCAUUGGUGCCGGCCUGGAGGAGAAAUAGGAAGGCGAGCUCAGCAGCUUCCUCCGUGAGAAUCGGGAUAUCUUUGCAUGGUCAACUCAAGACCUGCUAGGUGUGCCGAGGAAGUUGGCUGAGAACUCAUUGCAUGUCAGACCAGACGCAAGACCGGUGAAGCAGCCCCUUCGAUGCUUCGCUGACGACAGAAGAAAAGUCAUAUCGGAAGAGGGAUCCCGGCUUCUAGCUGCUGGCUUCAUCAUGGAGGUUUUGCAUCCCGACUGGCUGGCAAACCCGGUCAUGGUCGAGAAGAAGAAAGACGACCCAACUACUGCCAAGGUGUGGCACAUGUGUAUCGAUUACACCUGCCUCAACAAGGCAUGUUCCAAAGAUCCCUUUCCAUUACCUCAAAUUGAUCAAGUGAUCGACUCCACUGCCGGGUGUGAGUUGUUGUCUUUUGUGGAUGUGUACUCUGGUUUUCAUCAGAUACCGCUGAACCCUAAUGAUCAAAUAAAGACAUCAUUUAUCACCUCGUUCGGGGCUUAUUGCUAUCGCACUAUGCCGUUUGGUUUGAGGAAUGCAGGGGCUACCUAUCAAAGGUGCAUGCAGAAGUGUUUGCACGAUCAACUCGGUAAAAAUGUGCAGAUGUAUGUCGACGAUGUCGUCAUAAAAACCAAGAAAAGCGCCACGCUCCUGGAUGAUAUCCGGGAGACAUUCGCAAAUCUGCGGAGGUCCCGAAUGAAACCGAACCCGGCCAAGUGCACAUUCGGUGUGCCGGCAAGAAAGUUGCUCGGUUUCCUGGUAUCAAGCUGAGGAAUAGAAACGAACCAUGUGAAAAUUGCUGCUAUAGAAAAAAUGAAACUGCCAAAGUGCCUCAAAGAUGUGCAAAAAUUCAAAGGAUGCCUAGCGUCGCUCAGUCGUUUCGUGAGUUGGCUCGGUGAAAAGGCUAUGCCCUUAUACCAGCUGAUGAAGAAAACCGACAAAUUUGUGUGGACACCACAGGCGGACCUAGCUUUUCAAGAGCUGAAGAAGAUGAUUGCUACGGCACCUAUAUUAGCUUCGCCGAUGGAGAAAGAGCCUACGUUGUUAUACAUUGCAGCAACAAAUCGAGUUGUCAGUGCUGUCAUUGUAGUCGAAAGGGAUGAAGAUGGCAAAUCGGUGUAGAGGCCAGUAUAUUACUUGAGCGAGGUGUUAUCGUCGUCCAAGCAAAAUUAUCCCCACUACCAAAAGAUGGCGUAUGGCGUAUAUAUGGCGGCAAAGAAGCUAAAGAGUUACUUUGAGGCACAUCAGAUCUGAGUUAUAUGUGAGGCGCCCGUCUCGGAAAUCAUGAGUAACAAAGAGCGAGCGGCCGAGUCGCAAAAUGGGCUGUCGAGUUGGCACCCUAUGCACUGCAGUACGACAGACGGGAUGCCGUGAAAUCUCAGACUUUGGCGGAUUUCUUGGUGGAUUGGGCUGAAAUGGAAUAUGAACCACCGCCCUCAGAGACUAACUACUGGAAGUUGCAUUUUGACGGCUCUAAGAUGAAAAGCAGGCUUGGUGCCGGCAUAGUUCUGACCUCGCCAAAGCGCGACCAACUUAAGUACGUAUUGCAAAUUCACUUUGUAGCAUCUAACAAUGUUGCCGAGUAUGAGGCACUUGUGCACGGAUUGAAAAUGGCGAAAGAAAUUGGAGUCCGCCGGAUUCAGUGUUUUGGUGAUUCCGAUCUGGUCGUCCAGCAAGUUUCUGAUAAUUGGGAUGCAUUGGAUGCCAACAUGGCGUUAUACCGUUUCCAUCUCCAGAAGAUCAGUGGCCAUUUUGAAGGGUGUGAAUUUCAUCAUAUACCUCGGGCGGAAAAUGAAGCAGCCGACACAUUGUCGAAACUCGGCUCGACACGACAGGCUAUUCCAACUAGGGUGGCAUUAGAGCAUUUACGCAAACCGUCCAUCAAACCCUCACCAGAAUCAGAGUCGAUAUUUAUCCCAGCGAGCUCAGAAGCCGACGUCACUCUCAUGGACAUUGACAAUGGCAGUGGUUCCGGUAACCCGGGGAGUAAGCGCCUUAACUCAGCAGAAACAAUGGCAGUUGAGCCAAUGGAAAUAGACGAGCCGGAUCAGCCAAUCUUCAUUACUCAUCCUGUGCCGGUUUGGGCGCAACCGAUAAUGUCUUACCUCAAAGAUGGGAGUCUCCCGGAAGAGGAACUGUCGGCAAGACAAAUUCAAAAAAGAGUGAAAGCAUACACCAUCAUCAAUGGUGAGCUUUACAAGAGGAGCGUUACUAAUGUCCUAUAGUGGUGCGUCGAGUCGGAGGAAAGGACAAGAAAUACUUCGGGAUAUUCAUGAAGGCGAGUGUGGCCAUCACGCAUCUUCAAGAACGCUAGUAGGCAAAGCUUUCCGGCGUGGUUUUUACUGGCCGAGUGCACUACAAGAAGCAGAAGACAUAGUCAGGAAGUGCAACAGCUGCCAGAGAUAUGCCAGCAAGAUUCAUAUGCCGACAUCUGAGCUCAAGACUAUUCCAAUGACUUGGCCUUUCGCCGUCUGGUGUUUGGAUAUGGUAGGACCGUUCAAGCGAACGAAAGGAGGCAUGACGCAUAUUCUGGUCAUGGUCGACAAGUUCACCAAAUGGAUUGAAGUCAAGCCGAUAAAGAAGUGCGACGGCAAAACCGCGGUGUCAUUUCUGAAGGAUAUCAUCUUGAGAUAUAGGUAUCCGCACAGUAUCAUCACGGAUGAUGGAACGAACUUCGUGGAGGGACCUUUCGCGCGAUUCUGUGCUGAAAAGAAAAUUUGGCUGGAUGUUGCUUCCGUAGCACAUCCUCAAUCCAAUGGGCAAGUUGAAAGGGCGAACGGCAUGGUUUUGGCCGGCAUAAAACCCCGGCUAAUCGAACCAUUGGAGCGUACUCCGGGAUGCUGGCUGGAUGAACUCCCGUUGUGCUAUGGAGUCUCAGGAUGACUCCCAAUCGCUCUACAGGCUACACGCCAUUCUUCCUUGUGUAUGGGGCGGAAGCUGUUUUACCGGCCGACAUUGAACAUGACUCUCCACGAGUAACCAUGUAUACGGAGGCCGAGGUGAAAGUGGCCCGAGAAAAUGAUGUCGACUUGCUCGAAGAAGCACGGGAAUUGGAUCUAUCUCGGCCGGCCAUCUAUCAACAGAACUAAGACGUUAUCACAGCCGAAAGGUCAGCCCGCGAGUUUUCCGGGAAGGAGAUCUUGUCCUCCGGCUUGUGCAGCGAACAGCCGGCAUGCACAAAUUAUCACCUUCAUGAGAAGGACCCUUCAUUGUGAGCAAAACACUCCACAAUGAUUCUUACUAUCUUAUAGAUGCACAAGAUCCAAAGGCGAACAGGAUGGACCGGUCAGGCGAGGAAACCAAGAGGCCAUGGAACGUAGCAUUGCUUCGUCCGUUCUAUACUUGAGAGCUGAGUAUUUGUAUCGUUUUUCCUUAUGUUGAAUGUUCUAAUUAAGACAAUGAAAUUAUCUGCCGGGUUCUUAAAAGAAACUCGGAGACUUCCAUAUCGUUUAAGUGCUUUGUUACAAUUCUCUUUGGUAUGUCGGCAUGGCUUAAUUGCAUAAUCCUACGUUAGUCUAGUAGUGUGUCGGUAUUGACAAAAUUCCUCUAUGACUUCGCCACUGUCCGCAACCCGGCUUCAUGGCAAGGUAGAGAUGGGUAUAAAAUAACCGAGCACAUGAAAAAUGACUCCGGAAACAAGCAAAGAGGCGAUCCGAGAUACACGUUAUCUUAACUCGGCAUCUCUUUUUAACUCGGUUGUUGCCGAGCGAAUUCUUCGAGUUACUUUUUUCGCGAUAGUGGUUUUAUUACUUUGCGAUUUGCGAUUCGUACGUCAAACGCCGACAAGGCAGACAAAGGAACCAAAGUUGUAAAAUUUCACUAAGAGAAAAAAUAAACUCGGGGACUCGGUCGGAAAUUUGAUAAACAAAAGAUUUAAUUAAAUUAAGAGCAUAAUACUUGGCAAACAAGAGUAUGUCGAUUACAUUUGCACCCGGCAUUCCGGAGAUCUAAUAUUUCUAAAGUUACUCCGAAAACUAGGAAGAGACAGAGGGGUUAGCGACGGAACUCGGUGCAUCCGCCGCAGUGGAAGCCGACUCCACAGCAGCUUCUUCGUCCGCUGCUUCUUCGUCGCCGUCCGUCAUCUCGGCUUCGGCUUCAGAUGUUGGGCCUUCUACAAACGUAUGCACGUCGGCAUACUGAAUGAAGUGGUAGGCCGAGCGUGACUGUCGUCGUGAUCGUUAUUCUCGAAAUUGUUUAAUAUUUCAACACUUCUGGGUAAGCUGUAUAGGGAAAGUCAAUGAACAAGAAAACCACUCAUCCACUCCCGUCUGAUUCUGGGUUUGGAUUACGCAAGCUGUAGGGAUGAGACACAUGGCAUUACUAUGCUAGCUUUUUCUGGUUUUGGUUCAUUAUUAAUUGAUCAACUGACGCAAUGUAUGUACGAAAUCAAGACACCUAUGCUGUGAACAUGUAAGGUGUAUUGGAUCUUCUGAGUAUCAUGCGACCGUUUAUUUUACCAGGGAUACCAUCGACAUCUUCUCGUUUUUUUUCUUCCGGCUAUAAAGAUCUAGAAAAAAAGCGCAAGCAACAUAUGAAUUCGACUACAUGGAAGGGUUGACGGCGCAGCAAAGCGCGCUUACCCGUCUAGUACGGCGUAUUGUUGCAGUUCGAACAUAACCUAGGAAUUUCACAUCCAGGUCGACUGGUCGAGAUCUUACCAAAAGCUUAACUGGCGUAGUGGCCCAACUUAUCCCUCGUUUCCCGCCCCAGCGGUAGCCCAAGUGGCCGAGCUUCUAAGCCCAUCAUCACUCAACUCGGCGUCUCAGAGACAUUUUUCCCUACAAAAAAGGACAUUCUGGCGAUUGCCGCAGCCGUCAGCCCCUCACACCAAGCAGCCCUUGCCAAACUCCUCUCAGAAAAGGAAAAAAGCAGCCAUUGCCAAACAUUGCCCCCGUACAAGCAUCGGACGUCGGCAGUCAUUAAAAAACUCUCGAUCAACGAGAGGGCGAUGAAUGCGCCAUUAUUCAGCUGUAAACCAAGUCAUACACUCGUACCAUGUCAACGUGGUGUGUGUAUACCCUCUGUAUCUGGCAACAUUGCGGUACGUCCGUCGACCCUACUACGAGCAUGCGCAUUCGGCAAAUGGGGCCAGCAUUUCAAACGAAGCCCAACCAGUGGAAGACCCUCCUGUAUUGCUGUUACACUAUGGAAGCACCAUGACCUACCCCCUCCUGAAUUCCUGAUCGUGUCCAGAGAGUGGUGCUAUACAGCUAGUGGCAUGGCCACUGAUACGGUCAAUGCUUGUACGUGCGCACCUAGCUAACUCUCCAUUCUGGUCCCCUCGACAAAUGUGCGGACAAACGAGAAUUAGAAAAAUAACCGACAGAUCUGCUAGCAACAACUUGCAUCUUCGUUUAAUAAUUUGAUGGGUUUUCCAAAAUCAGUUGUAGUACCUCGCCAACUCGUCAAUUAAAGAAGAAGUGUCUCAUUUAAACUGAGCUCUAACAUUAAUCUUGCUGCAAAAAGAAAAAGGCCACAGUGAAUGUCCAUCAAACCCUUCCUCGGAUUAUUAGUAAUGGUUUUCGUUAUUUGUAAGACGACUAAAAAUAACUAUUUCUAAGUUGAUGGGAACCAACCGUUUGAUUCAGGUCACUAAAAUUUGUGCAAGAUUUAUAUAGGUGCAAAACAUCAGAAAAUCUUAAUCGGAUGUGGGUUGGUUGUCGGCUGAGAAAUAACUAUCUUAAGUCGACUGAAAAAUGGACACUACUUGCUAGUAAUGGAGCAGGAAUAGUAGUUUACUCCACAUGUAUAUAAUAAAUCAUUACUAGUAGCAUUGAGAACAUCCAUUCUAUACUGCAUAAAUCAUUAACAUUGAGAGGAUACUCCAUUAGAGCACCCUGUGGAAUCAUGCGUCUUUGCCCCUUUGGGGCUAUGCUUGUGAAACGAAAUAACGAAAGGAAAAGAGACACAACCAAAACAAAAAACGGAUGAAAAGACACGAUCGAGUGACCCCUUUUUGGCAAUAUGCCACACCGACCAACGCCUCAACCACCGGCCUAGCUAGCUCCCACAGGCAAGCAGGCAGCAGCGGUAGGGCAGCCACAACCUUUCCCUUUCCUUUUCCUUUUUUCCUUUCCCAAACAAACCAAAAUGCAGUAGUAGUAGCACUGCAGCAGUAAUAGCAGCAGCAGACACACGGCACAGACAGCAAAGCACCAUUCACGGGUGCCCGGCGCGCUGUUCACCGGCUAGCAGUAACUAGCACUCGGGGGUGAGGGAGCGGUCCCUGCGGAAGUCCUGGCAGUAGUAGUAGACCAUGUGUCCCUGCUGCGCCCAGCGCAUGGCGGCGUACUGCCUCGGCGUGAGCCCCGUGGAGCCGCGUGGGCCGGACGCCGGCACGGGCCGGCAGGAGGCCGGGGCCGUGGUGGCGCAGCCGGCCACGACGAAGCGGUCGAAGCGGGCUACGAAGGGCUGGUACCGGUAGUCGGCCCUGUGGCGGCCGUCGUCGGUGGCCCAGUCGGAGGCGUCCCAGAUGGACCCGUAGGCCCACAUCUCCCGGUCCGGGAACGUCAGCUCCGUCUUGCGCUCGUACCUCCGGAUCGGCACGUCGUCCACGAAGAAAGUGAUGGCGUCGGGGUUCCAGAGGAUGGCGUAGUGGUGGAAGCCGGCGGUGGGGUCGAACCAGAGGUGGAAGCGCAUCUCGCGGCCGAUGAUCCGGCCGUCGCCGCUGCCGCGGACGUAGACGUUAGUCUGGAGCGUGUAGGGCUCGCCCGGGAUGGUGCCCAGGAACUCCAUGUCGAUCUCGUCGUGGAAACCAGGGUGCGCCUCGUUGUUCGACAGCUGCAGAUACGCAUUUGUGCAUCGGUCAUCAUCAGAACGUGGCGAUCGAACCAUUUUGAUCAGGAUUAACCGUUGCUUGUAAUUUACCCAUUGGUGGGUAAAUUACUGAAUUAAAUCAGAUGUUUAUUAGUAGUGCUAAAGCUUACGUAGAAAGCCGUGUUGGUGCCGGCGGUGUAGCCGGAGGGGAGCUUAAUGCGGGUGGCGAAGUAGCCGUUCCGGUAUGAAUGCUUCGACUUGAACCCACUCCCUGCACGUGAAGGCCAUAUAUAUUCUCAAACAUAAUCAAAGAGCAAAUGCACCGAUUAGUACUUUUAUAUGCAGAAGGGAAUUUUAAUCGGCAUCCUCGAUUAACCAGUGCUCCCUCCGUUCCAUAUUUCUCGUUGAAAUAUUACAUGUAUUUAGACACUUUUUAAAAAUAUAUACAUCCAUUUUUUAUCAAAUUUGGGACAAUAAUCAUGAAACAGAAGGAACACUGGAGUAUGUAAUUAUUAGCAUAAACAAGACACUUUGCUGAUAUAUGGCCCCAAAACACGCACUGUAUGUUUUCACAAUCAACAAGCGCAAGUUGACAUGCACCGACGGUUUUGGACAAGCCGUACGCGCAAGUGAUGUCCCAUUCGCUAGCUACGACACAAGUUUAAUUUGCACAGUGAACACGCGCGUACGUGCGUCGGUGAUACUGUUUGAUCUGACCCCAUUAAAAUAAAAGCCAAAUGUACAUGCAUGCAUGCACCUGGGCUAGUAAAAUUUAAAAACAUUCGCAAUUAGCCAACAAACCUGCCCAGAUCAGAAUCAGAUAAGCGAAAAACAAAAGAAUUUCAUGCGUACGUACCACAGGUCUUGUCGAGCCAGAUGGUGAGCGCGGACUGGUCGCCGGAGAGAGUCUGGUGCUGGGGGCCCCACUUGUUUUUGUACCCGCGGUUGAACGCCACCGGCCUGAACCUCGAGCUCGGGUAGUAGCCGGGAGAUGGCUGCGCGUCGGAGGAGCCCACGGCCAUUGCCAACAGCAGCACCGCCGCCGCCAUGGCCGGCAGCAGCGGCAAGGAGAUGCUUGCCAUUGCUGUCGCUGUUGUAGCUUCAGCUAGACCUGCUAAAGCUUAAGCUUGAGCUAGGUGCUCAAGAGGGAGGGAGAGAUCGAGUACACUUGGUGGCUAAGCGUUCUCGAGCUGAUUUGGGAGAGUGUGUGUGUCGAUGUGGCCAUAUAUAGGAGCCGAGGAGGAGCUAGAGUACUGAGGGGCCAGUAGAGUGAAAGAAAGUGUUCAGACCAGCAGGGCCCACUCACAGGAGGGGGUUGGGUAAAUGAUAAAUGCAAAUGAACUACUAAUGGAAGUCGAUCGAGCUAGGGAACAAACAAGGGAAACCUCUGUGUACCCACCACAACAGGCCAGGCCGGCCACCACCUCUUCUCAGCUGCUGGCGAUGCUCCCAUGGCAAGUGCCAAGUGCCUGGAGCCAAAGUCUUGCUGCUGGUAAGCUUGGUCUGUAGCUAUUUACCUGCUUGCUUCGACCAACAGGCUUGGCUAGCUAGCUAGGAGUUACUAAAAGUUAAGAGUGGCAAGUGAUCCACCAGAUGUUUACUAAAAGUAGCACGUAAGUUGUUGUACUGCGUACCGCCGGGAUUGUACUUGUAUUUCCGUGAGUAGAACACUAGAAGUAGUUGAUCCGUCUGGGACUAGCUAGUUAUCUGUUUCACUUGCAGUUGCAGAGUAUAUGCGCGGUUGCAGUUACGGAGUAGUACUCUGUUUUUCUCCUUCCAAAUGUGUACUGGCGAGCUCUCAAAGCUACCCAUUCUGAUGUGUUCUGACGCUUGUGCAAUAAUUGAAAAUAGGGUUUGGAGCAGUAAUUCUCCUGCUCAUCAAUCAUCAUGCAUGCAUGCAUACAGGCCAGGGAAUAGCAAGUGUCGGCAUCACUGAAAGUGUGUAUGGCCUCAAAGCACAUGCGUACCAUGUUAGGACUACGCCUGUUGCUGUUGGGUUUAGUAUACGUGUGAAAUGGUCACUAGCUAAUUCCUCUUGGCACUAAAACGGCUGCUAAAUUGUAGUACUACUAGUGAUUAAGUGCUUAAUUAGUUCGAAUCAUUGAAAGAUAAUUGAGCUAGAAGUGGUAUUUCUCUUGAAGGAAAAUCAAUGCCCUCAACAAAACACCAUGGUAAUUAGCUACUCCCUCUGCUUGCUCAGGAAUCUCACUCACGCGUACGUAUAUGUUGCUUGUGGUCGACGUCAGCAAGUUGCAGCCACCGCUCUGGAUUCGGGAUUGUACGGCACCCCUUUACAGGCCCAUCUGGCAUGCAUAAUGAAUAGCCAAUAUAUGUUGCACUCGAGGAUACGCAAGACAUCCCACGUGCAUAUCUCCGCGCCAGUACGUAUACGUACGUGACCGAAAAGGAGGAAAGGAAUACAAUACAAUGCAAGAGUAGUAUUAUUUUCGUUCCUAAAUACUUGUCGUGAUUUUAGUGUAAAUUUACACUAAAACCACGACACGUACUUAGGAACGGAGGGAGCAGUAACUAAAUCCAAGUGGAAGUAGAUCCAAACAGCCAAAGAAUUAAUACUCUUGCAUAGAGAUAUAUAUCUAAUAAAUGGGGCUCCACUUGAACUAAGAAAAGAGUACAUAUAUAUAUAUAUAUAUACUGCAUUGUGAGGGUGACUCUUAACAGUGUGUAUGUGUGGACUAUGUGAGACCAAGUCCAACGUUUCCGCAAAUGAAUAGACAGUAUUUUCCUCCUUCCCCAGGGCCUCGUGGCCAUCACAUGCAGAAAGUGUCCGGCUUAAAAUAAUUCGGUCCUUCGGUGAGACCAGCUUAAAUUGGGCAGACCUGAGCUGAUGAGAUCCCUUUGAAUGCUCGAAAAGAAUACUGAAAUUAACAAGUUUCGAAGUAGUGGAAAAACAAUGUGUUCUUUCCGUCGCUUUACGUACGUGGACUGCUGGAGCGCUUGUGAUAUGUAUACAUACUUGUCUGUCGAGAUUAUUGCCCUAAAUUCAGCCUUUUGUCUUUGCAGAUAUGAUUUGGAUGCAUGUGAGGUGUUUGAUUUGGUUUUGCGGCCAUGGAUCGAUCGCUUUCGUACUGUUCGUUCUGAUGCGUGCCCGGCCGCUAGCUCUGAUUAUUCGGAAUGUGUAAUGAUGGGUUAAAUUAAGUGAUUGAUUGUCUGUGUCAGCUUCGACAGGGAAUCCGCCACGUUUCGCUGAAUUCAGCGUUGCGGCUAGCUGCAUGUGUUGUACGCACUGAACACGUCGGUUUCCGGGCCCGGCCGAGCAUGUGCCGGCGUCUACGUAGAGCCGGCUGUAUCUUCAGCAGUAAUGCGAAUUGUUGAUGCAGAAUUGUACAGCUCAUGGUACACAUGAGCAAUGGCCAUAGUCGCUAUAGAGCGUCCCCCGUUCCGAAGGCGAGAGAUUCUUUGUUUCACCUCUCUUUUUUUUCCUCCUUUUUAAAAUGGAGGUACCUAUCUAUUUCCUUUCGCUCUUUGCCUCUUUCGGUGAAAGGUCAGGCUAGGUCACAUAGAUGCAAUGGAAAACUAAAAGCAUAUCUAGCAUUCGUAAUUCCGUGCUUAAUUUCAGCGAGUUUUUGUAAAAACACUGCGGAUACGUCAAACGGUGUAUUUGCCACACAGUGUGUUCUAGCCUUCCAAAACAGAAGUCUCAUUUUGGGCCUCAACACAUUACUACUAAAAGACCACGUUCUUGGGACAUCUCAAGGGUGAGCUCUCAUUUGUCAUCACCAUUUGUCUAUUUGAGGGAUUUUUGACAAAUGGGGAUGAAUAAAAUAUCAAGUUGUCCAAUAAUAACCUUCAUUUAUCUCUUCAUGAGCCUUUGAUAUGUGGGCCAAAACGACAAGUGGAUAAGGUUUGGAUGAGUUUUACACAAAUGAAGACUCCACAUACUCUCCCCAAAUUUGGGGAAGAAAUGGGAUGUGGAUCACUUUUGGACAAAUGAGGGUUUCCAUUGAGUUAUGUAUUUUGCUCAUGGACCCAUAUAUGGACAGAUUUGGAUAAAUAGGAAGUAUUUGAAGGGUUUCCUUGGAGAUGCCCUUAAUUCCCGGUGCCACUAGGGAAUUAGUCUAGUUGUAAUAACAUGCCCCAAACUUUGUAUCAGUGCAAGGGCAAAAAAAAAUUGUGUGCAUUACGGGAACAGGAAACAUUUUCAGCUUUCCUAUACCUGCGGAGAGUGACUACACCUGAUAGUUUGACCCUCACUUUGUUGCCAGAGGAGGACAGUCACAAGUUAGGCUGCGUUUCGCAUUGGUUCAGCAAUGCCAAACUGAGCCUUAGUCUCGAUUUUGAUUCUUGAACCGGGGGUCUGUGCGGAGAGGAAUAAUCAAUUGUUUCUUUCAAGAUGCUAUCAUUUUCAUGGCCCGGUCUCGAUAUAGCAGUGGCCGUAUCAGGAUUUUUUGUGUGUGUGGAAAAUACAAUACUCCCUCCGUCCAACAAAAAGAUGUCUUAAGUUUGUCAAAAUUUGGAUAUAUCUAGACAUGACUUAGUGUAUCAUUCAAAUUUAGUCAAAGUUGAGACAUCGUUGGACGGAGGAAGUAGGUAAAUUGCCUACUGCAAAUAUAUUAAUAAGCAAAAGAAUAUGUGCAAAAUGUCAAAGAAAAUGAAGCAAAAGGCUAUCUAAAUGAGGCUAUCCAUGUCUGGAAGUUAGCAUAGGCCUUUCAUUUAGCCUGUGGAAUGCCAAGUUCAACUCCUCUUUGAAAAUCCUCCACCAUCCGUAUAAACUUGGUCGAUUGCCCUGAAAAACGAAUGAAAGGCCUAUGCUAACUUUAGCUCAUUCUUUGCAAGAAGAUUUUUUUUUUCCGGGUAAGUAGCAAGAAGAUUCUGUACGAGUAAAUUCAAGGAAAAUGUAUUUCCAAACCUGCCAGAGCAAAUCGGUAUUCAAAAAAUAGGUGUCCUCUAAUCUUAGUGGUGUGAUUGUCAUAGAGGACACGGUCAUAUGGUACUCCUUCCGAUCUAUAAAAUGUGUCGUUCAUUUUAUACUAAGUUAGUACAAAUUUUGUACUAAGUGGAUGCCACUUUUGAUGGAUCGGAGGGAGUAUUAGCUAGCUAGGACUCGUGAUGUCAAAUAUAUCAUAUGUGUAAAACUUAAGUAACCUAGUUUUUUCACAUUAAUUUCUAGAUAUAUAUGACUAUUCCCUCCUCCCUACGUGUCGAUCCUCCAUGCAUGGCUUUCAUCGGAAGGUUGUAAACAACGGUUAUAGUAGCUAGGCGUAGGCGUCAGCAUCGUGUGCAGCGCGCGGUUGGAUUGAUCGAUCGAAGUCUCAAAAAUUAAAUAAAAACUUAGGCAUCCAUCAAAACAGGACGGCAAUGACGGGGGGCCUUCUCCAUCGAUCACCAGGACCCUACAAAGACAUGCAUGCAGGGCCACCGUCUACACACUCGAUCCCUAGGCGGGUGGAGAUUGACCCUAGGAAAGGAAAAGGGAGGAUCGAUCUCCACUUAUCCAAAGAGAUCCCCUAGCUCGAAUCCGCAUGUUCCGCUGUCCCCGGCCGGUAGGUUUACGCACUCCUCAUCCGGCCGUAACAUGUGGCCCCCUCUCGUCAUCAUCGCGCUCGACGGCGCCCCGCACGUACCUUAAUUUCCUCUCCUAAACGGCUAACUGAAAACCCUACGACCCAUUCCAACGGCCACGCAUAAUUAAGCUGCCACACCGACUGUUUACCCAAUUAAUCCCAUCACCCAUAUCCCAUGCGGCGAAUUUCACGGCCCGGCCUGGGACGUGUGCACGCCGCGCGAGCCAGUACUCUCUGCACCGUAGGAAUGAACCGGCCGCCUCG